rnacentral:lncRNA from 1 species
GUUAAACUCUUGAAGUUGUUCUAAGCCUAGUAGAACAACUAGUAGCGGCUGCCCAUGAACUCAUCAGAAAGAAACCCCAUCGACGGCAUUCCUCUGGCGGCGGCGGUGGUCAGUGGUCUUUGUAGGCUUUAUCAUAUAUGGCUCCCCCUCAACGCCUUUCUCAUAUAUGGCUUGAAGCAACAACAAGGUGAACACAAAGAUCCCACAUCUAUUUUUUUAUUCUUCAAAGUAAAAAUUGAAGGUUUCAUUUUCUUCUUUUUUUUUGUUGCGUUUUGAUUUUUUUAAAGAAAUGUUGCAUUGUAUUCUUGUAACAUAGAUAAAGAAUUUAUAUAUACUUUGAUUAUUAUCAGGGGCGAUACUAGGCUCACUUUGCCUGAUGUCUUGUUACUAGGAUAAACAAAUAUUUUACCUAGCAUAUAUUUUAAAAAAAUUAUAUGUACUACUUGAGCUGCACCAGGAUCAAUUUUGUAUUGAUUUUGUCCCCUAUUACUAUUGCACAUAUACAUAGAAAAUUUUUUAUACGUGGAAUACCCAACUAUAAAAUCCUAGCUCCGCCACUGUUAGAGAGGAAGGUGUCAGAGAGGAAGGUGUGUAGAGAGGGGGGAAAUGGCCCUACUGUGCCGGAGAUUUGUCCCCUUUCUGUCAUGCCCCGUGCAUGACCUUGUCGGAAGCAUGGAGGACAGCACUGCGUCCAUCAGACAACACUGCAGCCCCAGAGCCUUGGGUGCUCGGGGCGCUAGGUUCUGUUGAAUAUAAUGGGCCUUUAGCCCAUAAUUAUAUUUAAUGAUUAAUUAAAGAACCCAUAAUAAAUGCUAUAAUGAAAACGGUUUAGUACUGUAUUGAUGAUUGACCAUGUGUUAACUCAACUUAAAUAUGUGGCUUUUGUUAGCUCCUAUGGAGAAGUUGAGGAAGGGAAAAAGGGUGCCACACGCGCGCGCGCCCCGCUGCCACCGUCGAGCCGUGCCGUGCCGAGGCGUGGCGUGCGUGCGUUCUUGUACUGUUGCUAAUUGAUGGACUCGGUUUAUGGCAAUUAAAUGUGAUUAAUUGUCAUCAAUCAGACGUUUCCUCCUGGGGCCUAUAUAUUCCAUACGCGUGACACUCUUUCCUUACGUGCGAGACACAAUCAGUCCUCUCGCUUUCUAUCGAGUUGCUCUCUGUUUGUUCCCGUCCUGAACCUCUGCGCGCACAGAGAUCGGGAGAGCAGGCCUCCGGAACCCGACGUCCUACAUCGAAGCGUCUUCCGCGACUGCUCACCGAUGAGAUCGUCUUCUUCCACUCCGGCGGAUCGAGAUCGACUACUGCGUUCGCGGGACUGCACUGCGAACAUCUUCCUGCAUCGACUGUGGUCCGCUACUUCACGCAACGCACUAUAUCGACUAGUGCGAAUGGAGCCGCCGGUGCCUUCGGCACUGGUCCCUCCUCGGGGUACAAUCCUAAUCGAUUGUCUUUUAUUUUCAGUAUGUCUGUUGUAGUUGCAGUAGUUCUUGCAAUGUUUAUCUCUAAACUGAGUAGUGAUAAAAUUGCACACGUGCACAUAUAUACCACCACAAUAUUAUGCGUAAUUUUCUAGAUUAAAUCAAACAUUAAAAUGUCUAAUUUUGUAACAAUCCAAAAUCUGAUAUUAGGCAUUUUUGUGUUAGUGGUUUUGCUGCUGCGUUAAAACCGGAUGCGUUUGAUGGUUCAAACUAUAAGCGGUGGCGCGCGAGAAUGAUAUUGUGGUUAACUGCUAUGAGUUGCUACAACGCCGCGAAGGGGAAGCCGGAACAGUUUACUCCUGAUGAGGAGCAAACGUUCAUGGCAGCGGAUAACCUCUUUAGAGGCGCCGUGAUUAGUGCGCUCGAUAAAAAGUAUGUUGACAACUAUAUCAUUUGCACCACUGCUAAGGAAUUAUGGGAUGCGUUUGAGGCCAAGUUCGGGGUUUCUGAUGCUGGUAGCGAGCUGUACCUCAUGGAGCAACUGUUUGAUUACAAAAUGGUGGAUAACCGUUCUGUGAUUGAACAAGCACAUGAGAUACAGGCACUAGCUAAGGAAUUAGAACAAUUAUCUUGUGUGUUGCCUGAAAAGUUUGUGGCCGGUGGUAUAAUCGCUAAGCUGCCACUUUCUUGGAAGGAUUUUGCUACUUCUCUAAAACAUCAGAGGAAAGAGUUUGGUCUUGCCGAACUCAUGGGAACUCUUGAUGUUGAGGAGAAGGCGUUGAGUCUUCUAGUGCCAAUGUGGUGCAAAAGAAAAGGCAAUUCGCAUUCCGUAAUAAAAAAAAGAACAAGCAAGAGAACAAGCAAGGGACAAAUCUGAAGCCAAAGCAAACUGCAACUUUUAAGAAGAAAAAGACAGAUGGAGGCUGCUUUGUUUGCGGUAGCGAUGACCACUGGGCAAGUGCUUGUCCACAUCGCAAAUUCAAACGAGAAGAGAAAAAGUCAGUGAAUAUGGUCAUUAGCGAGGCUGAAGGAGGAACAUCUUGGUAUGGUAAUUAUUUAUCUAUUGUUCUUUCAGUCUGUCAUUCAUCUGAGUGGUGGAUGGAUACUGAGGCUAAUUUUCAUGUAUGUGCUGACAUCUCUUUGUUUUCUUCUUAUCAGGCCGGCGACACUGGAGCCUUACUGAUGGAGAAUGGCUCUCAUGCGCGUGUUCUUGGUGUUGGUACGGUCAUUCUGAAGUUCACUUCGGGAAAGACGGUGCUGACGAAGAACGUGCAGCAUGUCCCCUCCAUAAAAAAAAAUCUAGUUAGCGGCUCACAGCUUUGCAGAGAUGGCUACAAUAUAGUCUUUGAGGCCAAUAAAAUUAUACUUUCAAAGUUUGGAACUUUUAUUGGUAAAGGUUAUGAUUGCGGAGGCUUGUUCCGCUUAUCUAUGCAUGAUGUGUGUAAUAAAAUCGUGAACCAUACUAUUAUUUCGAAUGAGUUUGGCAUUCGCGAUUUUGUCUUGUUAAUUAUGGUUGUUUAACGCGGCUAGCAAAUAUGAAUUUAAUCCCGAAAUUUAAUUUAGUCAAAGGUUCUAAGUGCCAUGUAUGUGUGCAAUCUAAGCAACCUCGCAAGCCUCACAAGGCUGCGGAGGCGAGGAACUUGGCACCAUUAGAAUUAAUCCAUUCCGAUCUAUGCGAGAUGAAUGGUGAGUUGACUAAAGGUGGUAAACGAUACUUCAUUACAUUUAUAGACGAUUGUACUAGAUUUUGUCAUGUGUACUUGCUUAAAAUAAAGGAUGAAGCAUUACAAUAUUUUAAAGCCUAUAAAGCUGAAGUAGAAAAUCAACUUGAGAGGAAAAUUAAACGCUUAAGGUCCGAUCGCGGUGGAGAAUAUUUUUCAAGUGAUUUUUCUGAUUUCUGCGUAGAACAUGGAAUUAUUCAUGAGAGGACACCGCCAUACUCACCACAGUCCAAUGGGAUUGCUGAAAGAAAGAAUCGUACUCUAACUGAGAUGGUUAACGCCAUGUUAGAGACUUUGGGACUAUCUAAAGAAUGGUGGGGUGAGGCGAUAUUGACAGCAUGUUAUGUCCUGAAUAGAGUUCCUACAAAGAAUAAAGAAAUCACACCAUUUGAGGAAUGGGAAAAUAAAAUAAUAAAUGUCUCCUAUUUGCGUACUUGGGGUUGUUUGGCUAAAGUGAAUGUGCCAAUAAACAAGAAACGCAAACUCGGACCUAAGACAGUUGAUUGUAUUAUCCUUGGUUAUGCUACUCACAGCGUAGGGUAUAGAUUUUUAAUUAUAAAUUCUGGAGUACCAGAUAUGCAUGUUGGUACUAUAAUAGAAUCAAGAGAUGCAACAUUCUUUGAAACUGAGUUUUCUAUGAAAAGUACACCUAAUAUUUCUAGUCAUGAGUCUAUAAAUUACCAUGAGCAAUUUAUUCCGAUAGAACAAUCUGAGGAACCUCAUGUUCACUAUCCUGAGGAGGAUGAUAAUGUAGUCACUCGAACGAGCAAAAGACAAAAAAAAGUGAAGUCUUUUGGAGAUGACUAUAUUGUGUACCUCGUGGAUGAUACCCCAACAACCAUUAAAGAGGCACUUUCCUCUCCUGAUGCUAACUUGUGGAAGGAAGCAAUAAGGACUAAGAUGGAUUCAAUAAUGUCUAAUGGAACUUGGGAAGUGGUUGAACGGCCUUAUGGGUGUAAACCUAUAGGGUGUAAAUGGGUGUUCAAGAAAAAGCUUAGGCCUGAUGGUACAAUUGAGAGGUACAAGGCUAGGCUUGUGGCUAAGGGUUAUACCCAAAGAGAAGUGGAAUAUUUCUUUGAUACUUAUUCACCUGUUGCCCGUUUGACCACAAUUCGAGUGUUACUAUCUUUGGCUGCCUCUCAUGGUCUUCUCAUUCAUCAGAUGGAUGUGAAGACAGCUUUCCUAAUUGGAGAGUUGGAGGAAGAGAUCUAUAUGGAUCAGCCUGAUGGAUUUGUAACAAGUGGUCAACAGGGCAAGGUGCGUAAGUUAUUAAAAUCCCUAUAUGGCCUAAAACAAGCUCCAAAAUAAUGGCAUGAGAAGUUUGACAGAACUUUAACUUCUGUCGGCUUUGCUGUUAAUGAAGCUGACAAAUGUAUGUACUAUAGGUUUGGUGGGGGUGAAGGUGUGAUCCUUUGUCUGUACGUGGAUGACAUACUGAUCCUUGGGACAAGCCUUGAUGUGAUCAAGGAAGUUAAAGACUUUUUGUCUAAUAACUUUGAGAUGAAAGAUUUGGGAGAAGCUGAUGUUAUUCUAAACAUUAAGCUUUCAAGAGAAGGUAAUGGUGGGAUUACACUUGUGCAAUCCCACUAUGUGGAAAAGAUUUUAAGUCGCUUUGGGUAUAGUGACUGUCAAUCUGCUCCUACGCCUUAUGAUCCUAGUGUGCUAUUGAGGAAAAAUCAAAGAAUAGCAAGGGAUCAACUAAGAUUCCCCCAAAUUAUAGGCUCAUUGAUGUACCUUGCAAGUGCCACGAGGCCUGAUAUCUCGUUUGCAGUGAGCAAACUUAGCCGGUUUGUGUCAAAUCCGGGAGAUAUUCAUUGGCAAGCUCUUGAGAGAGUGAUGCGCUAUCUGAAAUGUACUGUGAGCUAUGGCAUUCACUAUACCGGAUACCCAAAGGUAUUAGAGGGUUAUUGUGAUGCAAAUUGGAUAUCUGAUGUUGAUGUUAAAGGCCACAAGUGGAUAUGUGUUUUUGCUUGGAGGUGGCGCUGUUUCAUGGAAGUCUUGCGAGCAGACUAUCUUAACGAAGUCAACUAUGGAAGCAGAACUCACAGCAUUAGACACCGCCGGCACUGAGGCCGAGUGGCUUCACGAACUCCUGAUGGAUCUACCGGUGGUUGAAAAAACUGUGACGGCUAUUUCCAUGAACUGUGACAAUCAAACGGUGAUCACAAAAGUCAACAGUUCUAAGGACAACAUGAAGUCUACUAGGCAUGCCAAACGGCGUUUGAAGACUGUCAGAAAAUUGAGAAACUCCGGAGUUAUAGCAUUGGACUAUGUCCAUACAUUUAAGAAUCUGGCAGAUCAAUUCACAAAGGGACUAUCCCGUAAUGUGAUAGAUAGUGCAUCGAGUGAGAUGGGUUUGAGACCCACGUGAGGUCUACCAUGGUGGCAACCUAUUCUAUAGGAUCGGAGAUCCCGUGAAGUAGAAUGGUGAAACAAGCCAGAAGUAGAUUGUGAGGAAAGACCCUUUACUUAACUGAUCUCAAUUGCACUUCUUUCCUAAGUCUGUAAGGAAGGCUGGUUAUAUACCUUAAUGUAUUCCAAAGCGGCUUGUGAAGCGAUAGAUGUUGUCCUACAGAACAUCUUUAAGGAAUACACCUAUAUGAGUUUGACUGUUAGUCACAGUCUAUGAGAUUUGGGUGAUCUCUAGAUACUCAUGAAUGGGCUAGAAGUAUGACUUAUAUGCUUCAACCAGAGGGGAUGUUCAUGCAACCCUGUAUCAGUUAUGAAUUUAGAUGAAGCUUAUAUCAUAGAAAACUUGCAAUUCAAGGCAUAGUCCAUUGUUCAAGUUGUGACUAAGUGUAGUCUGUACUCUAAGUGGAAGUUCAACUUAACAGUCUCCACUGAAACGACUGGUAUAUGAAACGAUAUGGAAAUUCGAGAGCUUUUCUUAUGUGCCCUAGAAAUAGGUGGGGAUUGUUGAAUAUAAUGGGCCUUUAGCCCAUAAUUAUAUUUGAUGAUUAAUUCAAGUGCCCAUAAUAAAUGCUAUAAUGAAAACGGUUUAGUACCGUAUUGAUGAUUGACCAUAUGUUAACUCAACUUAAAUAGGUGGCCUUUGUUAGCUCCUAUGGAGAAGUUGAGGAAGGGAAAAAGGGUGCCACACGCGCGCGCGCCGCCGCCGCCGAGCCGUGGCGUGGCGUGUCGUGCGUGCGUGCGUGCGUGCUUGUCUUGUCUUAUCGAGAUGACACACGAGGACCAGACGUGACAUGGCACACGCGUGGUGAAUAAGGAAAGGGAGGAAAACAAGAUCUUACCGUUGUGUAAUUAAUGGCAAUUAAUUGCUAAUUGAUUGACUCGGUUUAUGGCAAUUAAAUGUGAUUAAUUGUCAUCAAUCAGACGUUUCCACCUGGGGCCUAUAUAUUCCAUACGUGUGACACUCUUUCCUUACCUGCAGGACACAAUCAGUCCUCUCUCUUCCGGUCGAGUUGCUCUCUGUUCGUCCCCGUCCCGAACCUCUGCGCGCACAGAGAUCGGGAGAGCAGGCCUCCGAAACACGACUUCCUACAUCGACACACCUGCUCGGGUGUGCAGGCAAUCAGAUUUUUGGGAGCGUCUUCCGCGACUGCUCACCGACGAGAUCAUCUUCUUCCACUCCGGUGGAUCGAGAUCGACUACUACGUCUUCGUCUUUUUCCUGGUGGACGUUCGCGGGACUGCACUGCGAACAUCUUCCUGCAUCGACUGUGGUCCGCUACUUCACGCAACGCACUAUGUCGACUAGUGCGAAUGGAGCCGCCGGUGCCUUCGGCACUGGUCCCUCCUCGGGGUACAAUCCUAAUCGAUUGACUUUUAUUUUCAGUAUGUCUGUUGUAGUUGCAGUAGUUCUUGCAAUGUUUAUCUCUAAACUGAGUAGUGAUAAAAUUGCACACGUGCACAUAUAUACCACCACAAUAUUAUGCGUAAUUUUUUAGAUUAAAUCAAACAUUAAAAUGUCUAAUUUUCUAACAGGUUCUAGCCUAGAUGGCCUGUGCUGGAGACCGGGGCUAGGGGAUCGGGCCGAGCAUCCCAUUGAUCAGGAGCCCCGAGCAGAGGCGGUGAGCAUACUAGGGCUCUGCCCUAUCGUUGGCCACAAGGUAUACUUGAGGGGUGUAGCCCCUGAGUCCGCGAGCGAUUCUAGCUAGAGGGGAUCAGGGAUGUAACAUGACCCUAUGUUAGGAUCUAGUGAAACUUCAAGGUCAACACAGCCGAUUAACCAAUGCCAGAUCAAAAUCUGGAAGUAAAAGCUGGUUCCAAACCGGCAGUGAUCCCUAGUUAUGGCCUUAUGGGUAGCCAGAAGCCAAAUGCUUGAUCGAUCCCAAAAAAAAAGUCACUAUCAGGUGCAGCCGGACGUCAAUGAAGGGCCAGUGUUCAGGGAUGAAAACGGUACGGAUAUUUUCCGACCGUAUUCGAGACCGAAUUCGUUUAGAGGAGUUCAGAUCUAUCCGUAUUCGAGUCGGAAUAUUCAACAUCCAAUACUGUAUCCGUAUCCGAAUACUUAAAUCGUAUAUUUAUAAUGUCGACAUCUAAUCCUAUCUUAUGACAUGGUUGACAUUAUCCGUAUUCGAAUCCGAAUCCGACCAAAAAUAUGAAAACAAAUAUGAUAUUGGUGAUAUCUGUCCGUAUCUGGUCCGUUUUCAUCCCUACCAGUAUCAUAUCAAAAAGUCUGGGAUCUGGUGAAAAGAAAAAAUAUAUUUUCCUAAUGCUGUGGCAAUAGCAGGCUGCAGCAUUAUGGGAUGACCGUGUGGUGGAGCACAAAGAACAGAUGAUGGUUUGGUCUUGUACCGAUAGAUACUUCACCUCUAGAUUAACUCAAAGGUAAAACGUGCUGUAGCUACCCUGUUAGGCUUUUACCAAGUUCGUCCCUGCCUUGGUACGGAAGCAUUCCAGUUGAUCAAGUAAACAUUGGAAACAUGAGUUGACUCUUUCUGCUGUAUAGUGGUCGCGAAUGACGAGAUGGAGAUUAUAUAUUAAAUAGUUAUAUGAUCAAGGUGAAGAUACUAUAUAUACAUGUGUUAUAGACAGGCUUCCCCACUGUUGACUCUUUCUACCUUUUAUUAGCGAGGAGUUGACUCUUUCUAUACAUAUGUUAGCACAACCAUCGACGGACCUUUUGAAGCAUUUCUCUUGUAUACGCAACUAUCACAGUCAGAACCAAUGGUGAUGAAAUGCAAGAAAAUAAGCAUGUUAGACCAUAAGCUAGUAAAAUAUCAACCAACAAAAGAUUGACAGGGAAAAAAGUAGUUUUAUUUUAUAUAAGUUCUGGUUUAAAUCAUGCCCGCUAAGCAAUCCAUAUACUUCACGUAUUAGUGUAAAGCUACUAAGAAGCAAUCAGUGCUUGACCUAGUAAAGCGUGUACCACAGUUCUCACAAGCAAAAAAAAAGGUGACCACCAAACAAACAAUGGAAACAUUAAUCGUCUUGAAUGACGAAAUAUAUGGAGAUUGUUGGAUAGUUAUAAUGAUAUGAAGUGGAAAAAGUAAUAAAGAUUUUAUAUGACGGUCAUAUACUUUCGCAUUGUAGACUAUUUCUAUAUUUCUUUGUGAGUUGACUGUUUCCAUACUUACGUUAGCACAAGCAAAGAUUGUCUGAUGAACCAUUUUUCUUGUUUACGCAGCUAUCACUGUCCACCAUCAGCAACGCACUCAUACCAAUGUCUUAUCAUGCAUCUGAUGCUCAAAUGGAUGUCCAAAUUAUCGGUUUUAUCCAAAUUCGAAUCCACUAACCGAUCUCCUCCAUUUUGCGGUUUACUUCCAAAGGUUUUAAAAUUUCAAUCAAUUUAUGUGACCACUAGAAAUCUUGAUUUUGUGGUUUUCUUCCAAUUUGUAAAAUUGAUAUUUAAAACGAUGAUAGUAUGCUUGAACCCAGACACCUAGAAACACAAAACGAAAACAAAGAGUACACUUUGGUAAUAUAUAUAUGCUGUGCUGCAACUGCAAGCAAAGAGACCAUGCACGCUGAUUUUGUUAGUCGUAUGGUGCGUGUGAAAAUAUUAUUAAAAGUAGGGUAGGUUUGGAAAGUCGAUAUCACUGCCAAGACUGUUUCUUCGAUCAGUUCUCCUGAUAGGUUCAACUUAUAACUUUUUCAGCCAUUAACACGUACACGUUGCCACAUGAGCAUGCGGCAGGCUAUAUAACCUCUCCAUCCCCAUGGCGAAGGCAUCAACAAGACAGACACAAACACCACAAGCUAAGAAGCUCCAUAGCUGAAUUCAGAGACUGCAAACACGUACAAAAAGUGUGUGCAAAACCAAAUGGCUGCCUCCAGCUACUUCAUUCUCGUUUCUUUUGUAGCAUUUGUCAUUUCACAGGCCACUGCCUCUGACCCUAGCCCCCUCCAAGACUUUUGUGUUGCCGACAAACAUUCUCCAGGUAUGCAUACUCUCGCUUUAACUCAAGCUGUUUUCUUAUACUAAAUCUCUAAUCAAAUAAGAAUCAUUUGUUCAAACAAACAUCUACAUACAACAAGCAUUUCUAGGUAUGGCCUAAUGACAUGUUCUUCAUCUAACUAUUUGCCUUUGUCUAUGCAUACAGUGAAGGUGAAUGGAUUUGUUUGCAAGGACCCAAUGGCUGUGAACGCAGAUGACUUCUUCAAGGCAGCAAAACUUGACCAGCCUAGAGACACCAUGAAGAGCAAGGUCGGAUCUAACGUUACUUUGAUCAAUGUCAUGCAGUUGCCUGGACUCAACACCCUUGGCAUCUCGAUGGCUCGCAUUGACUAUGCACCAUUAGGUCAGAAUCCUCCACACACACAUCCUCGUGCCACAGAGAUUCUCACCGUGCUUGAGGGUACACUCUAUGUUGGAUUUGUCACCUCCAACACAGACAACGGUAACAAGCUAUUCACCAAGGUUCUCAACAAGGGUGACGUGUUUGUGUUCCCCCAAGGGCUCAUACACUUCCAAUUCAACCCAGUCCAUGACAAGCCAGCUGUCGCGAUCGCUGCACUAAGCAGCCAGAACCCUGGGGCUAUUACUAUUGCCAACGCGGUCUUUGGAUCAAAACCGCCCAUCUCAGAUGAUGUCUUGGCCAAGGCUUUCCAGGUGCAAAAGGGAACAAUUGAUUGGCUCCAAGCUCAGUUUUGGGAGAACAACCACAACUAAGUAAAUUGGGAGUCACUUCAUUGUAUGAAGAUAGGUUUAUAUAUGUAUUUUGCAUUACUCCCGUGUGUAUUCAAUUAUGACAUGCUAAGACAAUAUGGUAGAAUAAUUAAAUGGGAAGUGUAUGUAACCAAUCACUAUUUUUGUGUUUCUGCUACAAGCUAUAUCACCAUGUUCUAGUUGAAUAUUUGAACUGAAGUACGUGAGGAUCCUACAUAAUUUAUUGGAUAUUGUUUGUAUAUGAUAUGCCGUUACAUAUAUCAACAAUAUUUCUUGACAUUAAUUUGGAGAUGAAUAUUGCAUGGAGCCUUUCCAAAUUACUAGGCUAAACUGAACUAUCAACCGGUAGAUCGGCUAAGACUAAAUUAAUCGACCCAGUAGGCCUUGGACUCCAGUCUCCUUGGAGCCAACGACCAGUGUGUUCCACUAGCUAGAUUCAUAUAGUAACGGAGAUCAAGUACCAUACGUGGCCACAUCCAAUUCCAACAAUGUAAUGACUAGUAAAAUUCACUUUACAAAUUCAACACAAAAGUUCACACACAUGAGAAGCAAAUUGGGAGCUAGCGAUUAGGAGCUUGAGAUAAGUUUGUAAUCACGAGGCAACAUUCAGGAAAUUUCACUUCAGAUAUGGGAGCUAGCAAGAUUGCACUAAUGCAUUGCAGUAACUAGAUGGUAGCUACGACCAACAUUCAGGAAAUUUCACUGUCCGACAAAUCGAGAUGGAUGAACAUGCAGUAACCGGGUAGCUAACAAAUUACCUCCUGAAAGAAGUCUUACAUUUAGAAACUGGUACCUUGUUGUCUAUUGAACAAAUUAAUAAUUCAGAAUAUUUGUUGUGUCCGAACUGAGAGUAAAAGGAGCUAGUGCUUCGAUGGGAAGACUGAAAGUGUCAUGGAAAGGAUGAACUGCGCCUUCCUUUCAGAAGAAAGAAAGAACAGAACAGAACAUAAAUAUUCAUCGAAAAUAUGGUGUCCUUUAAUUAGUAUUCCCUCCGUCCCAAAUUACAAGUCGCUUGACUUUUUAUUGCAACCAUUUUGGUAUGUAUCCAGAUAUAAUAAUAUGUCCAAAAAAAGUCAAAGCGACGUCGCCUUUAGUAUGCUUUUAGCAACAGAGAAAGACAAAUGAAAGUUCAUAUCCUUGUUCAGAAGAUAAUUUAUCACUGAUGUUGAUGCAAACUUGCUGACAUCCUCAAAAGCAACAAACAAUCCCAUGAAAAUUAAAAUUGUUUUGCAGUUCCAACAAUGGGGCUACUGCAGUGCUAGCUGCUGACUGGCGGGCUACCUAUUGGCCCUCUAGUGCUGAAUGGCAAGUUGCCUGCUGGUCCCUUUUGAUUCUGUUCCAUCAUCAACAAGGUAGACCGGAAGCUAACCAUGAUUUCGCCCGGCUUUCCUCUGCACAGCCGCAUGGAGAGUUGGAGAUUGGCUGCUGCAACCUCUCUCUUGCAUAAGCGAUGCCCUCAAUGACAUGUGACAUUCUUGGGCGAGAAGUUGAUCAAUAGACUAUAUAUGAGUCCUUGCGAACCCUAGGCAACGCCAGCGCCUUUAUCAAGGCCCGCCAACAGAGUAGAUCCCUCUUCGCUAUCUCAAUGAUGCUGCUCAGAUAUUUGCUAGCUUCCUUGUCAAGCAAUUCUGUAAUACCUGAUUUUAAGGACAAAAUCAUAUAUACACUAUAUAUGAGUCUUAAAGGUCAAAUCUCACAUAUAGCUAUAAAUAAGAGUAAUAUCAAUAGACAAUGCAUAAAUCAUAUAACGUACUUAGUAAAUCAGUGAUAACCUUAGGCAGCAAAAACAACGGAAGAUAAAUCCAGACUUCGGGUAUCAACUCAUGAUCACAAGCCUAAAGCUUCUCCUGAGGUGUGGGGGAAAUAGCAAGAGUGAGUCCCUGUCGAACUCCACAAAUAUAGCAAUAAGGUAGUAGCAGAUCCCACAAACUCAUGAUCAAUGUGAUAUAAAUAAUGUAGAGCAUAAAACAAUAAACAUUGAGCAUAAUAACAUAAUAAGAAUCAUCAUCUUUAAUGUAAGAGUCCCCAAGGCCGCUCAUGACCGUGAGCAUAGCUAGUAUACUAGUUUAUUAAACACUCUGCAGAGGUUGUACAUCUUUAUCCAUGAGUAAUGAUUUACCCUUUCACCCGAGGUCGCGAGUCUCUUAACCCCCUUCCUAGGGUGGUCGGCAGGAUUCACUAUGAAACCUUUUAAAAGUUCAUCUGACAAGUUAGGGCCGCAUGUUCCCAAUCAGUGCGCACAUAUAGAACCACCUUCCAAAUGGCACAAUGAUGUGCAGCCUAUACACAUAAGGACAGAGGCCGCACUAUACCCAAAAUGCAAGCCCCUCGAGUGCCCUUACGAGUAACCUCUAAGACUAUCUCCAACAAAGAGAACCUAAAAUGGAGACCUAUUCUUUGAUUUAGGUCACGCACAGUAUAUAGAUAGCAAACCCAAAACAUUCCUUCUCCAACAGCUAUCGCAAAAGCAGAGACCCAAAACUACCGUGCCGCCACUCCGACUGCUUGCCACGGGCAUGCCGUCCUGCUCCCGCCACUCCCUGCCAUGGAUCCGCCUUGCCAUGCUGGCCGCGCCCCGCUCCUGCCAUGGACCCACCCAACACUAGGCUGGAGUUCUUGUUUCCCUUGGACAGAGAAGCUCCGCCGCUGCUGCCUCGGUCGAGCGCAUGGGAGCCCUGCCGACCCUGCCCCUGCAGCUGCUCGCAGGCUUACUCCGGCGGCCGGUGCGCUGCGCCGGGAGCCCCGCCAACGAUGGUGGCAGCGGAGCCAAAGGAGUUGUCCACGACCAAGCGGAGCCACCGCAUCGCCCCGCACUGUCGGCUCUUCGUCCACGGCCUCUCGCCGCACGCCGACGGCGCCAUGCUCGCGGAGGCCUUCUCCUGCUUCGAGCCCGUUGCGGACCGUCGUCUGUUUCGCGUCUGGCGGAGAUGGAGGCGUGGUGCGCAUCCCAGCGGAAGGGGAUGAGGAUUGGGAGAGAGAAGACAGCCACCGGACUCCAUUUGGGUCGAGGAGAGAGAAGACAGGGAGAGAACGCAUAUUUGGGUUGCCUCUUCCCUUCUACCCAAAAUAGGUGUUCCCUUUGGCUAUUCUGUUGGAAGCGUUUUUUUUUCACUGUACAGGACCCAAAAUAGGUUUGGGUAAUGGUUUGCCUAGCUUGUUGGAGUCAGUCUAACAAGUUAGAAAAGGUCUUCCUACUAAGCUAAAGCCAGAGCCAUAAUAGACAAAUCCUCAAGUUGCUAAAAAGUCAUUUUUAUCGUUUGUUGCUUAAACAUUAAUUAAGUCACAAGGUCAUGGUCACAGAAUGAAAACCCAAAUGCUAUACUUGCCUUGAUCAUAUUUCUCUGGUCCUGCUUGUAGUAGCACUCUUGAUCAUCCAUGAACUGCUCACCGUCGAUACUCCAUCAGCAAUCAUCGACACACAAACAAUCAAGACCAAACAUAUACAAAGCAAACAAGGCUAUGAUUAGAAUAGUACACCAACAGUAGAAAAACGAUAAGAAAAGUUGAUAAAAGGAUUCUACACAUCGCUACAAUCACACCGACGUAAGGAUCACGAAAAUCAGAGCUAAAAUAGAGAAGAUAUGAAUUUUCUAAGAUUUCCUUUAUAAAAGUAAUUAAUUAAAUAAGGUCACAAAAUUAAAAAGUUGCAAAUUGGUGAAAUAAAUUUACUAACAUGUAGUUCUCUUGAAUAUGAAUCUAACAUAAUUUGAAUGGGUCAAAUCGGUGUUAAAACGUAUAUUUAUGAGCUAAAUAAAAUCAGUGGAAAACUUGUAAUAUCCUGAAAACGUAUUUUGAUUUAAACUGACGGGAAUUACGUUUUCAAAAAUAGAAUACGUAUUUUGAGAAUAUGCUUCGACUGCAGGUUCUAUUUGACAAAAAUGCAGGGGCUCUUUAACAAAAGAUCCAGACGAAGGGUUACGGCCUAAUCUGGAGCGUUGGAUCUAAAACCUAGGGCUGAGAUUAGAUUAGAGAGAGUGGGGGUGGCGGCUGCCGGCCGGAACAAUGCCACUGCAGUGGUGCUGUGGCCAGAAUCGGUCCGUCCUCGUCGGAGUUUUGCAAUCCAUCGACUUCGGACACCAUAACUCACAGGGAGCAAGAGGAGCUUGUUGUGAACUCACCAGAGGCAAAAGUGGGGGCAAGGAUGACCCGAGGAUGUUCGGCAUCGGGAUUUGGGGAUGACUACUCCCUGCACGAGUUCAACAUCCAUUGGAGACUAAACCAGGACGAGAGAGAGAUGGAGAAGAGGCUCGGCAUCUCCGUAGGAGCGAGGCGAAGCUCAACAAAGGGUUCUCGAUGACCUUGGGACAACGCAGGGCUUGGACAGUGGUGGCGGCGGCCUUCUUGCUUCUCCGAUGAGAUCCAAAUGUGCGUCAGGAGAGCGGCUAAGUCGACCCAUGUGUCUCGUAGAUCGAAAAGGGAGUCGCGGAUGAUUGCCAAAAGCUAUAUAAAGGUCGGUUGGGCAUGUUGGCAAACGAUCCCGUGGAAAACGGGAUUUGGCUUCCGCCUUGGUGGAGUCCUGCUAGGGCUCAAGGUGGAAGAAGAGAGGGGCACUGAUGCGUAGGCCCGAUUGGUCAGUGGGAGGGGAGAGAGAGACGCACUAGGCCGGCUGCUGAUGAAGCUGGGCCAAGCUGCUGCUCGGUGCGGGCUCUCCUACUGGGUUGUGGUCUUGCUGGGCAGGCUAUGCGUGGGAGAAUGGGACCCGACCCAAGAGCAAAGAGGGGGGGUUGGGCCACUCGGGCCAAAACAGGGAGGGAGAAGGUUUCUCCUUUUAUUUUCUCUUCCAAAUUUUCUAAGCCAUUUGAAAACCAUUUGAAAUUCAAUUUGAAUUCAUUUUGAAUUUUAGUUUAAAAACACUCAUCACAAUAAAUAAAAUGUUGUGGCAUGCAUGCUCAAACAUGUUGCUAAUCUCGUAUGGUAAGUUUUAAUUUAAUAAAAAAUAUUAUUAUUAUUUUGUUUUAUGAGCACAAAAAUACAAAAUUAAAUCAAUUUUCCUCUAUUUUCAAAGGAGCAAAAUUUAGGGUGUUACAAAUUCCGCGAAGCGUGCAUUUUGAAGUUGUUCCCCGUCCAUCACCUUGAGAAGUGCAACUCUAGUUGAAUGCUUGAGGGUUGGUGGAGAGCUCUUGGUCGUUGUAACACCCACAUUAAUAGUCAAGCUUGAGAAGGCUUGCUUAGCACAUGAAGCAAUCACUAAAAGACACGCCUUAAUAAGGACGUAGGUUGCGGAUAAGAAACUAAACAUCAAUGAUGUUUUAAUAAGAUCAACUCUAAGACCCUCUUUUUAAAACCUCAUCAUGUGUUCUCGAACAUUUUCCUAUUAACGUAGUUCCACCUAACUCUCUUAAUCCCUACUUUGAAUACAAAAUAUUUUGUUGUUUCAGAAAACUACCAUAAUUUCAUAAAAUGCUUUGAUUUUCAAAACUAGAGAUGUUAGAUGUAAAAAAUUUUGUAUUUUGUAUUUUUUUUAAAAUAAAAUAUUGCUAAAACUAUAGUCUUUUCUAACCUCUCUUACUUUAUAAAACUAAGGUUUCUUGUUUCACUAGUACUACAAUUGUUCAAAAUCACAUCGGAAUAUAAAGCCCUACGACAACCUUGAGAUCUACGUGCAGAUUGGUGGCGUACUACUCUCUCCACCUAAGAAAACAAUUCUAGGUUAAACUAAAUUAAACUCUUUUAAGUUUUUGUAUCUCUAAAUCAAUUUAUUAUUAAAAUAUAUUACAUAACUAAUCUAAUAAUACUUAAUAUGAUAUUUAGAGCUCCAAAUAUAUUUUUACAAAAAUAUAUUUCAUAACUUCUAGUAUCAUUUUUGCUCCCUCCUUGAGGCAUUUUAAAGGUCAUAAUUCUUUCCCUCCCUCCUUCAUUGUUUCCAACUAAGAACUUGAAUGGACCGCGGAAACCAACAAAUGAUGCUCCAUCUCUUUUCUUCUACAACUAAAAAUUACGAGACAGAUAUCAUCUGCCCUGCUGCCUUCGCUUCACCCCCAAGUAAGCUUUGCCCAGCCAUGUCUCAUCCAUUCCCCUAGGCUGGUCUGCUCGGCUUUGGAAAAAAAUGAAGGCAUAUAGUCUCUUAGAAGAAACAUAAACCUUUAAAUCCAUGUGAACCUAGCUUUGUCUGAUGCCCCACCCUACCCCUUGACACCGAUGCCACCAAGCCUCCUCCAUGACCGCCCCCGGUGCCUCCUAGCCCUCCCGUUGAUGUUGACGGCCUGCCUCUUCCCCUUCAUGUCAUUGACCUCCACCAUCAUGGUCAAUGACUCUAGCGUUAUCAUCCUGCCCCGCCACUGCCCCCCUGGGACCACCACCCCAUCUCAUUGCCCGCACAUGCAGCUGUGCUAGCUAUCCAGUAGAUGCAGAUGCAGCUCGCCAAGCACGUACUUGUCCUCCUGUCGCUGCAGCUUACCCCACGUGUGCUCAGUCUGCUCACGGCAGGUCGCUUCCUUUGUUAAUAGGAUCAGGGAGGGAGCACUACUACAGAAUUAACUUUAUGUGCCGGUCCCAUCACUGUUGGUUUCUUAAAAAUCGGCAGUGAUAGUGGCUGAUGGCUCAAGUGAUGGGUCCAACCGGCGGCAGUGAUAUAUGUUUUCUUGACUUAGGAUCACGCAAGAACCAACCACAAAAAAUUUAAGCACAAAAAAGAAGUGAAAAACAUGGCAUGUGUGGGCGAGGGACUAAUUACCUGUAGAUAUAAGCCCGUAAGAGAGAACGGGUCACGAUUUUCAUAGGCUUGGCUACUCCUCUGCCUAUUAACUAAGAUAUGCCUCCCAGCAAAAUGCCAACGUCAACACUGCCGGUCCUGCCAAAUGCAUGAUCGAUUCAAAGAAAAAAGUCGCUACCUGAUGCAGCAGGACGUUAAUGAAUUGCGGAUAUCAUCUGAAAAAGUCAGGGAGCAGGCAACCAAAUGACUUACCUCACUGUACUGAUAGACAGAAGAUUCACAUGAUUUAACUCAAAAGUAAAAAGUGCACGGUGGCUACCCUUUACCAGUUCGUUCCCACCUUGGUACGGAAGCAUUCCACGGAUUAAUUCAUGUAUGCUAGUUCCGUAUAAAAUGGUGACCAAGUAAACAUUGGAAACAUGAGGAUCGGAGUUGACUCUUUCUAUCCUUAUGUAAGCACAAACGCACGGAUUGACCAUUUGAUCCAUUAUUGUUGUUUACACAACUAUCAUAGUCCACCGUCAGCUAACGUGAUUACUGGUGGCCAGGAAUGUCAUAAUCACCAUUACAAAAUAAAUUAUCUCUCCAUAUCAACAAUUAACAAACCACGUUGUCCAAAAGGACUCAUGGGCCUGUGUUAAAAUUUAGAUAAAUAUAUAUCCUAAUUACUAGGCAUAACCCCAUUUUAUGGUUUACUUCCUAAUAUUCUAGAAGUAAUUUUAAAGGAUAAUUGCAAUGGAUUUUUUAGUGUCAUGCGUGUGAAAAUAUUAAAAGCAAGGUUGUUGGUUUGCAAAAGUUGAUAUGUCAAUAAGAUAAUUGCGUUGUUUACUCUGCAAGUUCCAGCAGCCGGAGACUGUUUCUUCUUUGUAGGUUGAACUUGGACUUCUUCAGUCAUUAGCACGUUCCCGUCGCCACACUUGCCGCUGUGGCAGCCUAUAUAAACACACCAUCCCCAUACCCCAAGCAUCAACAGAGACACACAAAUUGAACAAGAAGCUCUAUAGCUGAGUUCGAAGAGCACAAACAUAAAAGCAAGUGGAAUACUAAUCCAGAUGGCUCCCACCACCUACUUUCUCCUUGUUUCUUUUCUGGCAUUGGUCACUUCUCAGGCCAUUGCUUCUGACCCUAGCCCGCUCCAGGACUUUUGUGUAGCCGACAUACACUCUCCAGGUAUGCAUGCACUCACUUUAAGUCAUGCUAUAUAUUCUUGUAGUAAAUUGAGGAUCGAAUAAUAAUCAUUUGUCACAACAAACAUUCUAAUUAAUGUUUAUGUGUGUCCUAAUGUUUCUGAUCUCUAUAUACCUAUUUUCCUUCGUCUUUGUAUAUGCAGUGAAGGUGAAUGGAUUUGUUUGCAAGGACCCUAUGGCCGUGAACGUGGAUGACUUUUUCAAGGCAGCAAACCUUGACAAGCCUAGGGAUACUAUGAAAAGCAAGGUCGGAUCCAAUGUCACUUUGAUCAAUGUCAUGCAGUUGCCUGGACUCAACACCCUGGGCAUCUCACUGGCUCGCAUUGACUACGCACCAUUAGGUCAGAAUCCGCUACACACCCACCCACGUGCCACAGAGAUUCUCACCGUGCUUGAGGGUACACUCUAUGUUGGAUUUGUCACCUCCAACACAGACAACGGUAACAAGCUAUUCACAAAGGUUCUCAACAAGGGUGACGUGUUUGUGUUCCCCCAAGGACUCAUACACUUCCAAUUCAACCCAGUCCAUGACAAGCCAGCUGUCGCGAUCGCUGCACUAAGCAGCCAGAACCCUGGGGCUAUUACUAUUGCCAACGCGGUCUUUGGAUCAAAACCACCCAUCUCAGAUGAUGUCUUGGCCAAAGCUUUCCAGGUGCAAAAGGGAACAAUUGAUUGGCUCCAAGCUCAAUUCUGGGAGAACAACCACAACUAAGUAAAUUGAGACUCACUUCAUUGUUCGAAGAUAGGUUUAUACAUGUAUUUUGCAUACUCCCGUGUGUAUUCAAUUACGACAUUCUAAGCUGAUAUGAUAGAAUAAAUGGGAAGUUUAUGUAACCAAUCACUGUUUUUGUGUAUCUGCUACAAGAUAUACCACCAUGUUCUUUUUGAAUAUUUGAAUUGAAGUACGUGAGGAUCCUACAUAAUUUUCUCGAUCACGCAAAAGGUUUACGUGUCUUAUAUUAAAGUAGAGAAAACAGUUUGAUACAAUACGCCUUAGCAGUGCCCUAGAGGUCACAAGAGUUUUAUAUGGAUGCUGAAAACCUCCGUAGUGUACUCAAAGGUAUAUUGUUACAUUGGACACUGAUUAACCCAAAUUGCGGUACUGACUAGGAGGCAUAUGGCCGGAGCGCUGAUCGACAGUGGUGCCGCUUGCGCGGACCCACGUCGUGGUCCAGUGGGAACAACUCACGUAGCGCCUGCAUAUUGUUGGGGUCACCGCUGAAGAUUUAUCUAUACGCCUUCAUGGCUGAUGUGGACGGAAAGGUCAUCCGCUAGUUAGACUCAGAGCUUCACGAGAAGGUGUUCACCAUGCUUGAACGCCGGGAUAUAAGAUAUGUUCUGCGCCGCUAUCUGCUUGCUCCUUUUGAGGAGCAUGGGCGGUGCAAUGUCUGCCAUGGGUCGCAUAAUCGUGAAGCAGUUUCAGGAGUGGCGGCUGCCUCACUUUUGUAACUCACUCGGUAAAUUGGACAUGAUUUAUUGAAUAUUUUUGUAUAUGAUAUGCUGUUACAUAUAUAAACUAUAUUUCUGGAUGGUAAUAUGGAGAUGAAUAUUGCAUGGAGCCGUCGAAAUUACUAAGCUAAACUGAACUAUCAAUCGGUACAUAGGCUAAGAUUAAAUUAAUCGACACAGUAGGUCUUGGAGCCAACGACUAGUGUGUUCCACUAGCUAGAUGCAUAUAGUAACCGAAGUCAAGUGUCAUAUACUCAUAUGUGGUCACAUCCAAUUCUAACAAUGUAAAUACUAGUUAAAUUCACUUUACAAAUGCAACACAAAAGUUCACACACAUGAGAAAGCAAUUGGGAGCUUCAGAUAAUCAGUUGGGAUCUUCAGAUAAUGUAAUACUCGAUUUUAAGGACAAAAUCAGAUAUGCACCAUAUGUGAGUUUUAGAAGUCAAAUCUCACAUAUAGCUACAAAUAAUGGGUAAUAUCUAGAGACAAUGCAUAAAUAUAUAACAUACUUAGUAUAAAAGAGAUAACCUUCAGUAUCAAACAGCGGAUAGACAAUCUCCAAACUUCGGGUAUUACUUCUCUCCACAGGAUCCAACUGACUGGUUGAUCACAAGCCUAACAUCUCCUGGAGUGUGGGGGAAAUUGCAAGAGUGAGCACAUAUCGUACUCAACAAGUAUAACCAGGGGUUCAUGAGGCUCAAAUAGCUGACACUGGUUUGACUGCAUUUAGCUUUUAUAUGUAGAUAACAUAUUUAAUCAUUGGAUAGCAAAUAUCAAGGUAGCAUAUUAAAUCCCAUAACCACAUGAUCAAUUGUAUACAAGAAUUAUGAAUAAUACAUAUAAACAACAUAAUAAACCAUCAUUAUCAUUAUUAAUCAUGUUCAUCAGUGUCCGUCUAUUCCGUCAGUUUUCCGGGCCGCCCGUAUCCGUGGGCACGGCUAGUAUACCAGAUUUAACACUCUGCAGAGGUUGUACAUCUUUACCCAUGAGUCAUGAUUUACCCUUUCGCCCGAGGUGAUCAGCCUCUUAGCUCACUUCCAAGGAAAGUCGGCAGGGUUCACUAUGAAGUCUUUCAAAGGUUCGUCUAACAAGUUAGGGCCGCAAGGUUUCCUUUGCGUGCAGAUAUAGAUACCCCCUUCCGAAUGGCACAAUGACGCGCAGCCUAUACACAUAAGGACAGGGGCUCGCACUAUACCCAAAACGGUUCAGCCCCUCCGCCCUUUCGGGUAACCUCUAACAAGCUAGAAAAGCUUACUCAUACUUGACUAAAGCCAGAGCCAUAUAGCCCUCAUGGUUGUACGAGUUGUCUUAGCUUUUGCCAAGCGAUAAGUCCUUAUGGAGGGUCAAGAUCAAUCCAGCAAAAGCCAGAGUUCUUUCCACCCUUUAUAUUCAAUUUGCUAGAAAGCUUAUUUUAUUAUUUAUUGUAUAUCCAAACAUUCAUGUUACAUGAUCAUGGAUUAGAUUCAAGCACUAGCAGGAACUACCAAAUGCAUAUCCAAAAUAGGUAACAAGGAAUCCAGAAUAACAAUCAUCUAUGAUUCUGCUAAGGUCAUCACGGUGGACACAUGCAUAUGAUAAAUAUUGUAUUAAUGGUAUAUAGGUAACAAGGAUGAUCCCAAGUUAUACUUGCCUUGAUCAAAGCUCUCCUGAGCCUACUGCUGGUCUUCAAAAGAUUGACCUCGAUCACCAAUGUAUCGCUCACUGUCUAUACCCGAUCAUCAAUCAACAACGCGCAUUCCAAUGGACAAUCAUACACGAAGCAAACAAGCUAUAAUUAGAACAAUACACCAAAAAGUGGUAAAACAAAUAUAAAAGUUUAUGAAAAUAUUCUACGCAGCGCUACGAUCACACAAACGUAAUGUUCACGAAAAUCGGAAUUGAAACGUAGAAGUUAUGAAUUUUCCAAGUUUUCCUAUAGAGAAAUAAUUAACUAAAUGCUACUGCAGAAUUAAAAAGUUUCAAAACAGCAAACUAAUACUUCUAACGUGUAGAGCUCGUGAAUAAGAAUCUAACGAAAUUUGAAUGGACAAAAACGGAGCUAAAAAGAGCAUUUUAUGAGCAUUAUAAAAUCAGUGGCAAACUUGUAAAUUUCAGAAAAUGUAUUUUGAAUCAACCGACAGACUUUACGUUUUCAAAAACAGAAUACGCCUUUCGUGAAUGUGCCUUGGGCUGCGGGUUCUAAUACGAGAUUCUAGAGGGUCUCUUUAAGAAAACGGCCGGGCGAAGGGGUAUCCUUCUUUUUUGGCCGUAGGAUCGCGAUGGAACGGUGCAGAUCAGAUCUGGGGAGAGAGGGAGGGAGCUCCGGCCAGCUACAGUGGCCAGCGCGGUGGCGCCAUUGCCGGAGGGCAGAACUCCUCGCCGGAGUUCGUCGUUUUCGCGAUUCAGUGCAUGAUUCAACAAACGAAAAGAAUGGAAAGGCGUAGAAGCUUGCUGCGAACUCACCGAGACCAAAAUCAAGGCUCGGGAAAAGCUUGAAGGCGUCCGACGGCUUGAGAUGGCGGACCGGGCGCUCCUGCAAGGUACGGCAUCGAUGAGGGAGCUGUAGGGCGCGAUAGAGAUUAAAAGGGGAGGCUCAGAACCCUUGUAGGAGCAAUACGAAGCUCGGCGUCACGAUUUAGGCGGCUCUAGGGCAGCACCGAGGAAGAACGAUGGUGGCGGCAAUCUUUGGCUUGCGGCGAGAUCCAACCAGCGGCGAUAGAAGUUAUCUAGGGAUUCCCCAAUGUUGUGGAUGGAAAGUGGAGUGCGCGGGGAGACCACAAAACUUUAUAGGGCUUGAUUUGGGAAUCCCAGCACCAAAUCCCAGAUUUACAGGAUGGGUUUCCAUCUCGGUGAGAGAAGGAGAGACCGUCUCGGCCACGACCUGAGGAAGAAGAAAGGUAAGUCGCCGACGUGUGGGCUCCAGAUGGCAGCGAGAGAAAGAAAGGGAGAAAGGGGCGGGGCGCGCUGCUGGGCCGGAGAAAGAAGUGGGCCGGGGCGGUUAGCUGGGUCGCGGGGGAGGAACGGGGGCUGGGCCGAUGGGGAGUUGGGCUGGGCGCUGGAUGGGGUCUUUUCCCCUUUCUUUUUUUUCUAUUUUAAUUUUCAAAGCCUUUUCCAAAUAGAAUUUUUAGAGCAACCAAAAUCCACCCCAAAGCAAUCAACACAACAAUAAGAUAUGCUUCAGCAUGUAUGCAUAAACAAGUUUCUAACUCUAUGUUGAAUUUUAAAUUUCAAUAAAAUUUAUUUCUUCACUAAUUUAAAUGCUCACAGAAAUAUUUGAAUAAAUCAAUUUAAAUCUAUUAAUUUGAAAGCAAAUUUUGGGUGUUACAAACUCUACCCCCUUAAAAGAAUCUCGUCCUCGAGAAUGAAUAGUACUUACUCAAACAAUUGUGGAUAUGAUUUCCUCAGAUCAUCUUCUCUCUCCCAAGUUGCCUGUGCUUCUAAAUACCGAUUCCAUUGUACUUUGCACAUUCUAAUGAUCCAACUCCUGGUAACUCUCUCUUUAUUUGUCUCUUAAGUUCUUCUAAUGUAACACCCAAAAAUUCUGUUUCUUUUAAAUAGAUGAAAUGAAUUUAAAUGAAUUUAUUUUGUGAGCAUUUUCAAUGUAGGAAAAUAAAUAAAUUUGGAGAAAUUAAAAUUUAAUAUAAGCCUAGAGAAAACUUUAUGUUGCAUUCAUGCUGGGGCAUUCUUUUAUGUGAUGAGUGUUUUGAAAAUCAAAUUGAUUAAAAAUCCAUUUGGGAAAUGCAUUGAAAAUUUGUUUGAGAAAAAGAAAAGGAAAAGGAAUUUCUUUCUCCCCCUUUCUCUCCAUUUCGGCCUCUCGGCCCAAAACCCGCCCCGCGCGCGCCCUCUCCUUCCUGGGCCGCGGCCCAGCCGCCCCCCUCUCCCUUCCCCUCUCUCUCCCCGCUGAUAGGCCGGGCCCGCCUGUCAGCUCCUCCUUCCCCAAACCAACGCCCCGCUCCUUCCUCUCUCUCUCGGUUUGGAAACCGCAAGGCCGAAGCCCGCGCCCACGAUCUUCCCCUCUUCCCCCACGUUCGGCUUGAAAAGGAUAGCGCCCGCGCCGAGCUUGAACCGCACCCCGCGCCCCAUUCGUUUCCCUGCUCACCUUCUCGCCUGGGAGCACCGAGCGCCGCCGAGUUCGCCGCCGCGGUGGAAGAUUCGAUUGGCCAAGUUUUCUUCCCCGUAAUCCCCUUGCCGAGCUCCUUUUUAGUCCCGCGAAGUCGCCUAGAUUCUUCUUCUUAUUUUUCCCGCCUCGUUUUUCUCUCUAACUGCCGCUGUGUGUGCUCAGGAGAAUCCUCGCCGCCGUUUCGCGUGGUCAGCCGAAGUCGAUCCGUCCUAGUCCUUGUUCCCGGCGUCUUCGGGUUCGCGGUGAGCUCCUCUGGCCUCCCGUGCUCUUGGAUCGAAGUUUUGUCCACCUAAGGACGUUUUCUCCUUCUUCGGCGAUCUCCCAGCCAUGGCGCCGCCGCGGAGGCCUUGCUCCGGCCGGCCGGCCGGCGAGCCCUUCCCUCUCUCCCCCCAGAUUAAAUCCGAGCCGUAGAUCUCUAAUCUGACGGCCCAGUGAGCCCCGUACCCCUUCGCGGGUCAGUUUUGCUAAAGAGUCCCCCUGGGAUUUAGUAUUUGAGCCGCAGUCCUUAGCGCAAUUCGUAAACUACGCUUUGUCUUUUGGAAAGCGUAUUUUCCGUCGGUUAGGUCAAAAUACGCUUUCGGGAAAUUACAGAAUUGCCACUGAACUUGUUUUGGCCAUAAAAUAUUCGUUAUAGCUCCGAAUUGACCCGUUCAAAUUGCGUUUGGUUCGUAAUUAAAUUCUCUACAUGAUAGUACCACUGUUUUUGUAGUUUGCAACUUUUUAUUUUCAGGGUUAGGUUUAAUUAAUUAAUUGCCUAUAGGAAAUCGCCGAUAAGUCGUAACUUGGUCGUUUUAGCUCCGAAUUUCGUGAUCUUCGUAUCUAUGUGAUCGUAGCGAAACGUUGAUUCUGUUUUUAAAUAUUUUAUUUCAUUUUUGAUCUUUUGGUGUACUGUUCUAAUUAAAUGAUUGUUUGCUUGUAUGAAUGAACCUGGAUGCGUGUUGUUGUGUGGUACCGAUCGAGCGCAGACGGUGACGUGUCCGUGGGUGAUCCAUUUCACUUCGAGGAGCAGCAGGACCAGCAGCAGUUCCCCUUCACCAAAGGCAAGUAUAACAUGGGUUUCCCUUGUACACCUAUUCACUUAAUUAAUUACGCAUUUGCAUGUGUCUAAUUUUGAUAACCCUAAGGACAUCCUAGCUACCUGACUAAACACUUAUGACACCUAUGGGAAGAAUGCAUGUGGGUAGCUUUGCUAGUGCUCUAAUUAAUUGAGACUUUAUUAUCGCUCUGACUUUAAUAAAUAUGAUGAUAAAUAUUGGGAAAAAGGGCUAAGGUGCAAUUGACUUCGAUUGGGUUGACCUAGACCCUCCGUAAGGACUUCUCUGUAAGCGACAAUCCGGGACUUACAGUGCAACCGUGAUGGUUAUAUGGCUCUAACUUUAGCUCAGUAAUAGGAUCUCAUCUAGCUGGUUAGAGGUUACCCGAAAGGGCGCAAGAGGGGCUUGCCACUUUGGGUAUAGAACUGCUUCUGUUCCUAUGUGUAUAGCCGUGAUGGAAAUGUGCCAUAAGAAAGGGGGUUCUGUAUAUCUGCCUGCCGAGGAAACCUCGCGGCCCUAACUGGUUAGACGUGGCCUAUGGAAGGCUUCAUAGUGUUCCCUGCCCGCUCACCUUGGCAGUGUUAGUGGGUCUUGCAAACCCCGGGCAUAUGGGUAACACGACUUACGGGAAAAGUGCACACCUCUGCGCAGAGUUUGAUCAAAUUGGUAUACUAGCCGUGCUCUCGGACAUGAGCGGCCUUGGACCCUUACGGAAUAGUUGGGUGUGGAUGGUUAUGGGAAAUAACUAAUGAAACGCUGACGCAUUGAUCGUGAUGAUUAAUGUGGUUUAACCGUGAUGGUGAUGGUGUUAGCCGUGAAGGUUAACGGUGUUAUUAUCAUGUACUCAUUUGGGCUAAUUGGGAGCUUAAGCAUAAUUGAUGAUUAAAUAGGAUUAAAACAUUGACCAAUUAAAAUGCUAACUGCAGUAGCCAGUGUCUGACCUUUUUGAGCCGCAUAAAUUCCUAUGUUAUGCUUGCGGAGUACGAGAUGUACUCACGCUUGUCUUUUUAUUUCUUUUGGACAAAAAUCCCGGAUGGGUAACAGAUGACAGCUAUUAGGAGGAAUUUUCGGAGGACUUCUAGGUUGGCGAUCCCCCAGUCGGUCGUCCCUGUGUUGCAGUUAUCUUACCAUAGCUAGUUAUGAGUUUAUUUUCCGUUUGUCGCAGACUUUGAUAUAUUUGUGUUGUAAUAACGUUUUGUAACACACUUGUGAUGAUACAUUUAUAAUUUGUCGACUUGUGUGCGCGACUAUUCCUGGGGCGCACAUGAGAUUAUUGUACUCAAAUUUAUCCUUAAAUUUGGGUGUGACAAAUUGGUAUCAAAGCAAGGCUGACUGUAGGACGCAAACCUUGGUAGAAACAGUCGAUUUUAGGGUUCUUAUUUUCGCUUUAUUUAUUUCACUGCUCAAUUUACUUUCUUGUUAUUUUAUUAAAAGUUUAUAUUCUUACCCAAUGUUCUAUUUAUGUAAACAUAUUGAUUCUAAUUCUUAAAACAAAAUUUAUAGAUGCCUCGUCGCAGCGCAGCCGCGUAUCGCGCCCUCUUCGUCGCCGCCCGUGCUCCACCAGUUGCACCAGCACCAGCUCCAGUACCUGCACCUGUGCCAGCACCAGUACCCGUACCAGAGCCCGAGGUCGUCGCCUCUGGUGGCGGCGAGGAGGAGGAGCCUAUGGACACGGGGUCCCCUACGCCUACACCUUCAGCUCCUACACCAGUGGCGGUACCGAUUCCGCAGGCUGCCGCUCCAGUACCACCUGCACCUGCACCACGUGCACCUGCACCACCUUCGCCUGCACCCCACGCGUCGACGGGUUCAGCACCGACGCCUCAGUACCCUCAGGUUGUUCCGGAGAUGGGAUGGACCUCCAGGAACAAGUUCAUGGAGGCGGACGAGGACGCUCGCUACCACACUCUGCUCACCGGUGUGUUGGCGAGCUAUUACCCGGAGUUUGCCGCCACCGUCCGCUACCUUUGCUCGGAGCACAAGCACCCGUUGGAGAACACCUACUGGAAGGCCGAGGUGAUCAUCACAACUCGGAACAACGUCGACAACUCGGACGAGGUGGAGUCCAUCCACGAGAGCAGGGUUAGACGUGCUUCCGCCUACGAGAGCAUGGAGGAUGCAGCUUAGGCCGCGUACUUUCACUACCAUGGCCGCCGUUUUGAGGCCAUGCAGGAGGAUAGGUACCGGUUCCUUCCCCGCAACGACCCAGAUGGAAAGACAUGGCAUGUCCUGGCACCUCCUGCCGGCGACCCUACCCUGGAUACGACUGUGAGACACGUCAGUGCCAUUCAAGAGAUGAAUGGGGCACUGAGACAGGAGCUGCGUGUUGCGCAGCAGGCGGAGAAGCGCCUCCAGCGUCAGGUGGAUGAGCUGCGUGGUCAGCUUGGACAGCCACCCAUUUACAAGAAGAAGCCCCGCAAGUUCGUUCUCCAAGAUAGAGCUCCUUAGAUUUCCCAGUACUUUCUAGAUUGACGCUAGCACGAGUAUUUCGGUAAUGUGUGGCAUGUGAACUUUAGUGAGUUGCUGUUUGUGUUGAUGAACAUUUAUGAUUUGGAGUUUUGUUUGAUUGUGGAAACAUGUGGGUCUGUCCGCAUGUUUCUAAACCUUAAUUCUAGAAGUAAAUGUUGUUUAAAUUCGAGGUUGGGUUACUUUAUCUGUCUCAGUCAUGCUGUUUCUGGAGCGGUCUGGGAUUUUUAUUCAGUAUCUCAUUAUCGGUUCAGUCAAAAAUUACGAAAUUUUUGUGGUGAAAACUAGACUGGUAUAUCUUUCAUCUCCAACUGGAAUCACCUCAUUAUCUGUUCGGAUCUAUGAGAUAUGUCCGUUUUAAUCUGCUGUACCUGCGCAGACUGAGAACCAGAGCAGAACCUGAUGAAUCACAAUUUUGAUUAUGUUACUGUUGGAAUCAGUAAAUGUGGUCUGAAUAAAGUUUGUAGAGAAUUUCCUAACCUUUCCAACGAUGUAUACCAUGUUCCUUUUGAGUCUAUAGAUUCUGAGAUAAGCACAGAUUACUGACCUGCUGAGUUUGAAACUUGUCCAGAAAACUGCUAGACUUGUUUUUAUUCAUUAUAAGCGAUGAAUAAUUAUUUUUUUUGGAAGAUCACUAAAAGCCGUGAAUCUUUGUUGGAAGCAGAUGGACGCCGAACGUGCAGCCGCUGGUCGUGGACGUGGCCGUGGCCGUGGUCGUGGCCGUGGACGUGGUGUACCUGAGAAUCCACCACCACCACCGCCGCCGAUGACUAUCGAGCAGCUCAUGGGUAUGCAAGCUAAUCUGAUGCAAGCCAUGAUGAACCGUAUGAACAAUGAACCAGUAGCAGCACCACCGCUGGUUCAAGUCCGUGACAAGCGAGGGGAGUUCUUGAAAGGACAUCCUCCGGUGUUCACCCAUGCCUCUGAUCCACUGGAGGCAGACGACUGGUUAAAAGCAGUCGAGAAGCAGCUGAACAUAGCCCAAUGCAGCGACCUGGAGAAAGUGUUGUACGCAUCAGGCCAGCUGCAAGGACCUGCACAGGAGUGGUGGGAGUCCUAUCAAUAUGGACGCCCCAACAACGCUCCGCCAGUCACCUGGAAGGAGUUUACGGAAGGGUUCAGGUCCCAUCAUAUUCCGGAGGGCCUGAUAGAACUGAAAGCGGAAGAGUUCAGAUCUCUCAAGCAGGGAUCAAUGUCAGUCAGUGAGUAUCGUGACAAGUUUGCUCAACUAUCACGAUAUGCUCCAUAUGAGGUGGCCAGGGACUCUGACAAGCAACGUCUUUUCCUGAAGGGUCUGUAUGAUGGACUGCAGCUGCAGCUGAUGAGCAAUACCUACCCUUGUUUUCAAGAAUUGGUGAACCGCGCUAUUGUCAUCGACAACAAGCGCAAGGAGAUGGAUGCAAAGAAGAUAAAGCUCCAGGGGCAGCAGUCGGGCAGCAACACUCGCCCACUUGCGUACCCUCAGUAGGGAUUCCCUCAGCGCAGUCAAGGACCACAGAAUCAGUGGAACCGUGGUCAGUUUCCUCAGCGUCCCCAGUACUACCAGCAGCACAAUCACCAAAACCAACAACAUCCCCAGCUGCAGUAUGGCAACCAGAAUCAGCAACGCCUCCAGCAUCAGGUCAGCAAUCAGGCACCACACCAAGGAGUGCCCAAUAAUGCUCCUGGCAAGAGUGCAGCACCCAGCGGCAAUCCCAAUGCCUGUUACCGCUGCGGAGAGGUGGGACACUAUGCCUACCAGUGCCCCAAGAAGCAGAAUCCACCAGCCCAGCAAAAUCAGAACAACAAUAAGAGGCCUGCUCGACCUCCGUUCUCUGGGAAAGUGAACCAUGUGUCCACUGACACAGCUCAGGAAGCACCUGAGGUUAUGAUGGGUACGUUCAACAUCAACUCCAUCCCCGCUACAGUACUGUUUGAUUCUGGUGCUUCACAUUCUUUUAUCUCCCAAGCUUUUGUUAGAGUGCAUAGCAUCCCACUUUGUGCACUGAAAAAUUCUAUGCUAGUAAAUUCACCGGGAGGCACCAUGCCAGCUAAUUACUGGAGCCCCUCCACUAGUAUAUCUCUAAGGGGGGUAGAUUUCAAGGUGAAACCUAUUGUGCUAAGAACCAUGGGAAUUGACCUCAUACUUGGAAUGGAUUGGAUGAAGCAGCAUAGGGCAGUAAUUCAGUGUCAGGAGAAAUCUGUGGUGGUGACAUCACCAGAUGGGGAUAAAAUAAGUGUGGAUGUGACAGUGCAGUCUCAGCCGACUGCUACAGUGAAUCAGUUGAGUGGUGGUAAUCAAGAAGACCAGGUGGUGGACGAGUUCCCCGAUGUGUUCCCGGACGAGUUGCCAGGUAUGCCACCAGACCGAGACAUUGAAUUUCAUAUUGAGCUUUUACCUGGAACUGCACCUAUAGCAAAAAGACCAUAUAGAAUGGGGGUAAAUGAAUUAGAGGAACUUAAGAAGCAGCUUAAGGAAAUGCAAGAAAAAGGGUUUAUUCGUCCUAGUUCUUCACCAUGGGGUGCACCCGUAAUCUUUGUUGAUAAGAAAGAUGGCACUAGGAGGAUGUGUGUGGAUUAUCGGUGUUGACACCAUUUUUUGGGCACGUGUCCAGGAUGGCAGGACAGGGUGGCAGUACGAUGCGGGUUGCUGGUAAAGAUGGUUGCCGAUGAGGGAAAGGUUGAAUAUGACUAAGUCCUCAGACAGUGAUAUGGUGCCAAUGACCAAGUAAAAGGGUCUGCCGAUGACUAUGGCAAAGGGAUUGCCGAUGACGCGAAGGAGGAGUCCGGAAACUGCCAGUUGUCAUGUGGAGGAAUUUCGGUUUGUCACGAAGGAUGGUUUUAUUAUUUCCUUAUGUUAUUCGUAUCGUUUUGUAUACGGGUUCCGUGUAAUUUGGAAUUCGAAUUCUAAUCGUGUCUGGUCGUAGCUCUUGGAGCAGGGUAUAAAUAUAAGCCCUAAGACCUUGUAAUCAGGAGAUCUAUCAAUCAAUCAAACACACGUUUUUUACUCAUAUUCCAGCAUUUACUUUUCGACGACUUCGUCAUACGUUUUCUUUUUGUUACGAGUUCUUAGGAAUUCGUCGACUCAAGCUCGGCGUAUCCUCAAGUUCCGCGUGAGUACCUCUUAGCCGUGACAUCCGGGCGUAUCGCUGUUGUCAGGACUAAAGUAUUCGAGUUAUCACCUUUGCCGAUAGUAAGAUCAAAUCGGCUGGCACGCCUUAACGUUUGUAUCGGGUAUUAGCCCUUUGUGUUUGCAGACUAGUUUUGCAUCAACACAUCUUCUGGCACGCCCAGUGGGACCGAUUCAAGAUCAAGAUCAACAUGUCGAUCUCUGACCUCGAUCAAGACAACGUCAUCCCCGUGACGGAAGCUAACCUCAAGGAUGAGCAGAAGCAAGCUAUUGCCCAAGCUAUGGAAGAAUUCAAGCAGCAAUGCCUGAAGUCUUUCAGCAUAAACAGGAGCGGCGAAGUGGUCCAGAAAGAUGCACUGCCGGCACCACGGCAGGUCACCUUUGACGCCAAUCCUAGCAAGCUUCAAGACAUGGUUGAUAAUGCCAUCAAUCGAGCGUUGAUUAACCAAGCUGGUGUACUGUCUAAUACGGUUUUCAACGCCGUGGCAAGAACCUUCAAGGAAGGACAAAUCCCGCCGGAUUAUGUGGGUCCUUCCCAUCAUCAACCCACGGCACCAGAGGUCACGGCUCCGUCGGCUGCCUUGACAAGUGCGAGUGCGCAGUCUGCCGUUCCUCCGAGUACAUUGGGGACUACUGGUGCACUAUCUACGCCGAUGGUAACCAAUCCACAAAUUUCAGUUGGGCAGCAUAAACUGACAACAGAUAUGUUGGCAUCGGCAAUGUCGGGGUUAACUCUUCCUCCUAACUGGUGGGGUUAUGGUAUGCCUCCAGAGUUGACGCCGGGAACAUCACAGAUAACUGACAUGAGGGGCAAAACUCCUAUGACAUCGGUACCUUCAAAUGUGCCGGUGAACCAGAGUCCUCGGUACACCACAACUACUACUGCAAGGCCUCAUACCGGAAAUCCUCAAGAUCCAAUGUUCCAGAUGCCUAACGCAUCGGCAGAAUCAAUGCUGAUGCAACAGAGGCCUAUGGCCCAGUCAGGGUAUGUCAAUUCAACGACGGUACCCAAUUACCAAUCAUCGGCGGCACCUAUGCCGAUGAACGCUAAUAAUGGAUGGCUUGGACAGCAAGCCUUUCCACAGUCGCCCCAGCAGGGUUAUCAGACUACAGGGUCCCAGCAAGGGCAGGUUUAUCCUGGGUUCCAAGGUCAGGGAGUUCCCAACCAGCCAAUAAAUUUUGGACAGCAACUCGGAGGACAGCCAAUCGGUGGACAGCAGUUUGGUAGUCCGCAGAUUGGAGGACAGGUGACCAAUACGAUGUUCCAUACAGGUUACGUCCCGAACAGACACGUGGAGGUUCGCCACCAGAUGCCAGAUCCGCAGCCGCCUCAUCGGCAAGAUGCCGAUGCGUAUUGGGCCGAUAAGAUUGCCGAAGUAAUGAGGGAACAAUUUGGGAUAAAACCCAAAGUCAACACUUAUUCUUAUCGGACACCGUAUCCUCCAGCGUAUGAUUUGAUCCCGCUUCCACAUCGGUACAAAGUACCGGAUUUUACAAAGUUUUCCGGACAGGACGACACGUCAACCAUGGAGCAUGUUAACAGGUUCAUUAUUCAAUGUGGAGAGGCUGGUAACAGGGACGAGUUGAGGGUUCGCCUAUUUUCAUCAUCAUUGUCUGGAUCGGCCUUUACUUGGUUCAUAUCAUUGCCUCCCAAUUCGGUAAUUACUUGGGCCGAUCUAGAGAAGCAAUUCCACAGAUACUUCUUCUCGGGGGUUCAUGAGAAGAAGAUCACCGACUUGGUUAAGUUGAGGCAACGUAAUGAUGAGUCGGUUGAGGGAUUUGUGCAGAGGAUACGAGAGGUCAAAAAUAAAUGCUAUAGCCUGGUUCUGGAUGAUCGGCAGCUAGCCGAUUUGGCUUUCCAGGGUUUGUUGCCACACAUCAGGGAUAAAUAUGCUUCUCAGGAGUUUGAAAGUUUAAGUCACUUGGUGCAGAGGAUAUCUGAUCAAGAUAUCAAGCCUUUCGAGCCUAAGAGGGCAUGGAAUAAGAAAGUCUCAUUUGUUGAUGAAGCAACAAGCUCAGAUUCCGAUGAAGAACCAGUAAUCGGUUUGGCAGAAUGGGUAAAAAACAAGAAGCCGAUGUCUUGUCCUUUUGGGCAGAAGGAACCAGAGAAGUUUGCAUUUGACACCGCCAAGGCCGAUAGGAUAUUUGACUUUCUACUUCAGGAAGGUCAAAUCAAAUUGUCACCUAACCACGUGAUCCCGUCGGCAGAAGAGUUGAAGAGGAUGAGGUAUUGCAAGUGGCAUAAUGCAACUUCACAUGAUACCAAUGAGUGCAAAGUAUUCAGACAACAGCUGCAAUCGGCCAUAGAGUCAGGGAGAAUCAAGUUUGAUAGUUCCAAAGCCCAGAAGCCGAUGAAGAUAGACCAACAUCCUUUCCCGACGAACAUGUUGGAUGCUAAGGGGAAGGCUAAGGUCUUAACGUCGGAGACAGCUGAGAAGAGUGCAUCGGUAGAUCCUCAGCAUCAAGUUACUACCGCCGAUGCAAGAAGUAAGGGCUUGGUCCAAGAAGGAGCUAGCUCAGGAAGAAUUCCUCGAUCUGGUGUUGUCAUAACUCAUAGAAGGCCUCGAGAGAGAUGGCAACAGCGGGAAGAUCGGUACCGGCGCCAGCAGGAAGAUUAUCAACGGGAAGAAGAGAGACGCCGACAGGAGUGGAAUCGGCACAGGGAUCAUUGGAAUUGCCCAUUCUUCAUCCAUUGUUGGGAGGAGAAUAUCAAACUUCCUACUGUCAGAGACUGCCCUGAAUGCAACGGUUAUGAUCGGUACGACAGGAACGAUCGGCGUUAUCAUGAUGAUGAACGACGAUUUAAUGGGCCGAUCAGAGGAAGGGCGUCAAUUCAUGAUCGGCUGGGGGGCAGGCUUAGCGUUCGCGAUCGGCUCGGUGACCGGGUCCAGUAUUUUCCCAGGAACCAAGAGGAGCUGGAAAGAAUGGCUGAUGCGCGGGUUCCCGAUGAAUUCAUAUUUUGCAGGGAUACUAACACGCAUCGCAUGGAGUCAAGAGAGAACCAACGCCCGACGGCAAGACAAAGGCCGCUUCCUCCAUGGUGCCCUCAAGGAUUAACCAAGACACAGAAAAGGAGAUUGCAACGUGAAAGGCAGGAAGAGCUAAAUAAAGGAGAGAACUCUGGGAGUCGGCAGCCGUCAGACGCUAAGAAAGAAGGUCCAUCGGCAGGCGUCAACAUGGUAUUCAUGUUACCGAUGGAGUUUCUUGCACCAGCCAGUGAUGAUGAGUUGGGAUUUUCUGAUCAGAUAGCUCAGUUGGCUCUGGAUCCAAUGACGGCUAUCUUUGAGAAACCUGCCGAUAACGAGAGGCAGCAUCUUAAAGCUUUGUUCCUCAAAGGAAGGGUUGAUGGGCAGCCAAUGACUAAGAUCCUAGUUGAUGGUGGGGCUGCUAUUAAUAUUAUGCCAUAUGCAGUAUAUCGGAAGCUUGGGAAAGGGGAUCAAGAUUUGACCAAGACCGAUAUGAUGCUCAAAGACUUUGAGGGAAACGUGUCUCCGGUCAAGGGGGCGAUAUGUGCGGAGUUGACCAUCGGCAGCAAAACCUUGCCGACAACCUUUUUCGUGAUCAGCGGAAAAGGUGCCUACAAUUUAUUAUUGGGGAGAGAUUGGAUUCAUGCCAAUUGUUGUGUCCCAUCUACAAUGCAUCAGUGCUUGGUUCAGUGGGUAGGUGACAAGAUUGAGAUCGUCCCAGGGGAUUCUUCUUAUGUUAUCGCAUCGGCAGAAGCGGAUACUUAUGAAAAGACUAGGUGCAUUUCAGGAGAAGUUUGGGAGAAAGAUUUUCUCAAAGUUGCCGAUUAUGAGAUUCCACCGAUCCAAGCAGUCGGUUCUGACGAUGGUUUUUAAUGGAUAGAUUCGCCGAUGAUGGAAAAUUAGGUCAGGGAUUCACAUCGGCCGAUGAUUUGGUAGAAGUAGAUAUAGGUAGUGGAGAUAGGCCUAGGCCUACUUUUAUUAGUGCUAAACUAGAUCCUGAGUGUAAACGGCAAUUAACUAGUUUGUUAAAGGAAUAUAAAGAUUGCUUUGCUUGGGAUUAUACAGAGAUGCCUGGUUUAGACCGAUCAAUUGUUGAACAUCGGUUACCCAUUAAAUCUGGAUUUCGGCCACAUCAGCAACCAGCCCGCCGAUGUAAUCCCAACAUUCUACCUGAUAUUAAGGCCGAAAUCACUAAACUUAUUGAAGCUAAGUUUAUUCGGCAGUGUCGGUAUGCGGAAUGGAUUUCCAAUGUCGUCCCGGUUUACAAGAAGAACGGGAAGCUUCGGGUGUGCAUUGAUUUCAGGAAUCUCAAUAAAGCUACGCCGAUGGAUGGAUAUCCAAUGCCUGUCGCCGAUCUACUGGUUGAUGCUGCGGCUGGCCAUCGGGUCAUCAGCUUCAUGGAUGGUAAUGCGGGAUAUAAUCAAAUAUUCAUGGCAGAAGAGGAUAUUCCAAAAACCGCAUUCAGGUGUCCUGGUCAUGUUGGACUAUUUGAAUGGAUAGUCAUGACUUUUGGGUUAAGGAAUGCCGGUGCUACUUAUCAAAGGGCUUUGAAUUUUAUAUUUCAUGAGUUCAUCGGCAAGAUCGUAGAAAUUUAUAUUGAUGAUGUGGUGGUCAAGUCUGGAGAUUUCUCAAAGCAUCUUGCCGAUUUACGAAGAGUGUUGGAGUGCACAAGGAAGCAUGGAUUGAAGAUGAAUCCCAACAAGUGUGCAUUUGGUGUGUCGGCAGGGCAGUUUCUUGGUUUCAUGGUACAUCAGAGGGGUAUUGAAAUUAGUCAAAGAUCUAUUGAUGCUAUCAAUAAAAUAGUGGCCCCUACCAAUAAAACCGAGCUCCAAUCUUUGAUCGGCAAAGUGAAUUUUAUCAGAAGAUUUAUAUCGAAUUUAUCUGGGAGAAUUCAUGCUUUCAGUCCUCUUCUUAAAUUGAAAGCCGAUCAGGAGUUUGUUUGGGGAAAAGAACAGCAGUUGGCUCUAGAUGAAAUCAAAAGGUAUCUAGUAAACCCUCCAGUUUUAGUUCCACCUCAAUAAGGGAAACCCUUCAAAUUAUAUUUAUCUACCGAUGGAUCGGUUAUCGGUUCAGCUUUAGUUCAAGAAUUUGAAGGGAAAGAGAGGGUAAUUUAUUAUUUGAGUAGGAGGUUAAUUGAUGCUGAAACCAGGUAUUCGGCCAUUGAGAAGCUGUGCUUAUGCUUAUAUUUUUCAUGUAUCAAGCUGAGACAUUACCUGUUGUCGGCCGAAUGUGCUGUUGUUUGCAAAGAUGACGUAGUCCGAUACAUGCUAUCUAUGCCGAUUAUGAGUGGUAGGAUCGGUAAAUGGAUUUUGGCGCUGUCGGAGUUCGAUUUGCGUUACGAAUCGGCUAAGGCGGUCAAAGGGCAGGUUAUGGCCGACUUUGUGACUCAGCAUUGCGGUCUAGUGGAAACCUUGGAGAUUGCACCCUGGACGCUCUUCUUUGAUGGAUCUACCUGUGACCGGGGAGCAGGAAUCGGCAUUGUAUUAGUUUCUCCCAAGGGGAGGAAGUAUGAAUUUUCCUUGCCGAUUGUUGCUACAUCAACAAAUAAUCAGGCUGAGUAUCGAGCUCUGAUCAGGGGAUUGGAGUUGUUAAGAGAAGUUCGUGCUGAUGCUGUUGAAGUAUUCGGAGAUUCUAUGUUGGUUAUAAAUCAAUUGACCGGAAGCUAUGAAUGCCGGAGUGAAGUUCUCAUAACCUAUUUCGAGAGAAGUAUACAACUGUUAAAGGAAUUCAAGAACUUCCGAUUGGAGCAUAUUCCCCGAUUGCAUAAUGAAGACGCUAAUCGGUUAGCCCAGCAUGCCUCGGGAUAUCAGCCAAUGAUUAAUGCGACAUCGGUAGUCAGUGCCGGUGAUUGGAGGGAGGAAAUUAUUGAUUAUCUAAAAGAUCCAUCCAAAAAGGUUGAAAGACGGGUUCGAUUUCAAGCAACCAAGUAUGUGCUCCUUGAAAAUGAAUUGUAUUAUCGAACUAUCGACGGGAUUCUUCUCCGAUGCUUGGGUGAUGAUGAAGCCAGAAGUUUGAUGGGAGAAAUCCAUGAAGGAGUGUGUGGAGCGCAUCAGUCGGCUUUUAAGAUGAAGUGGAUGAUUCGGAGGAAUGGAUAUUUUUGGCCAACCAUACUUGAAGAUUGUUUUAAAUAUUUCAAGGGAUGUCAAGGUUGUCAAAAGUUCGGUAAUAUCCAGAGAGCACCCGCAUCGGCUAUGAAUCCUAUAAUAAAACCUUGGCCGUUCCGGGGGUGGGCCAUCGAUCUGAUCGGCCAAAUUUAUCCACCAUCCAGCAAAGGGCAUAAAUUCAUUCUAGUUGCCACUGACUAUUUCACCAAGUGGGUCGAAGCUAUUCCUUUGAAGAAAGUCACAUCGGCCAAUAUGAUUGAUUUUGUGAAAGAGCAUAUUAUUUACCGAUUUGGGAUUCCCCAAACGAUUACUACCGAUCAGGGCACCAUGUUCACGUCAGGGGAGUUCGAUGAAUUCGCAAUCGGUAUGGGAAUUGAAGUGUUGAAUUCUUCUCCUUACUAUGCUCAAGCCAAUGGGCAGGCCGAAGCGUCUAACAAGGGAAUUAUCAAGCUUAUUAAACGAAAGAUUGAAGAAAAUCCUAGGCGGUGGCAUACAUUGUUGAAUGAAGCACUGUGGUCUUAUCGGAUGGCUUGUCAUGGAUCAACCAAGGUGUCACCUUACCAAUUGGUGUAUGGACAUGAUGCAGUUUUGCCUUGGGAGAUUAAGGCUGGAUCCAGGCGAUUAUCUUUUCAAGAUCAAUUGGCUGCCGAUGAUUAUGCCACUUUAAUGACCGAUGAGUUAGAUGAUUUAGCAGGGCAUCGGUUAAAGGCUUUAAUGAGUAUAGAAGAAAAUAAGAAGAGAGUUGCCAGAUGGUAUGAUAAAAAAGUGAAGGCUAAGGAGUUUGCCGAUGGGGAUUUGGUAUGGAAGUUGAUUUUGCCAGUCGGGACCAAAAGUUCAAAGUUUGGGAAGUGGUCUCCUAAUUGGGAAGGUCCUUAUCGGAUAAAACGCUCAGCUCCUGGUAAUGCCUAUAUUCUAGAAACUCUCGAAGGAGUUGAAUUUCCCAGAGCAUUAAAUGGCAAAUAUUUGAAGAAGUACUACCCCAGCAUAUGGAUCGAUGCAUAAAAGGUUAAGUGCCGAUAACACUCCUAUCGGCUGAAUUUAAAUGUUCAAGGGUAGACUUAAUGUUUCAAAAGAUGCCGAUAACAGUCUUAUCGGCUAGACUAAAAGCUAAAAACGGAGAAACAAAGGUGUGUCGCCGAUGAAAGCUUCAGAUGUUCAGCAACGCUUGGAUUGGGGAUAUGGCGCGCAGCCGAAUCUGGUUGGCUGUCUCUAUCUCUUUGAUAUCGUCAUCGGCAGAACCUUCAAUCGGCUUCAGCUUCCUCUUCAGUUGCAGCGCUUUACGACCAUGGACGUUUCGUUCCUGUUCAAGAUGCUUGAUGGUCUCCGGCAGUUGACUAUCUUCUUGCUGGGCUUGGGACAGGGCGUCUUCUACUUGCUUGAGUUCAGCCAGCAGAGCUUCUCUUUUUGCCGAUAGAUCAGACAUUUUCUGCUUCAGUGCAUCACCUGAGGACUUUAAGAUGCCGAUGUUCUUAUGUUUCUCAUCGGCUAAGAGUUUUUCUUUCAUCAUCUCCUCAGAGAGCUGGAUUUGAGCAGCUCUGUCGGCAAGACGUCGAGUAGCUCUCUGGUACUGUAGCUGGCGGCUUUCUAGAUGUGCAGCGUGGAAGAGUGUUUCUUCGGCAUCGGCAGGAAUUUGGCCUCUAAGAGUCUUGAACAGGGCCUUAGCUGGGUCAGAAUCGUCGACCAGUUGAGUUGUGUCUUGAUGAAGUAUGGCCGAUAGCUCCUCCAGCCUAGCUCUGGUUUCUGCCGAUACAAUUCCAACUGCCCGAGAGGAGCUUGCUUCCUCGCCUUCUUCUUCGAAGAUAUCAAUAGCGAAGGAGAAUAAGCUGUCGGGAGAAUCUUGUUCCUAAAAAUGAAAAUGAAAUAGGUCAAUUUUAUGGUCAAAACUUCGGCAGAUGAUACCGAUGGAAAAGUGGAUGACUUACUUGCUUCAAGGCGAUUUCCUGCCUUUGACUCAGAGAGGCCGAUGGAGCUGCAGGUUGAUCGGCAAAUGUUGCCGAUAGAACGAUAUCGCCUGAAAGAAGACAGGAAGGAUUAUAAGAAGAAAUGAAAAUGAGUUUAUCGGUGGGAGUAUUGUUGGGAUAUGUUACCCGGGAGAGGAACAGCAGUUGUUUGAAUUGAGGAAACCGCCGAUGAUAUAACUGGGCCUGCCGGGCCAGUUGUUUGUGCACCUACGUCGGCUGACGUACCUGCCGUUUGAGGUUCUUCCAUCUGUGGUGCUUCCUGUGUUGAUUGAGGAGAUGGUGCUUGCUGUGCCUGGACUUCUGGAGGAGAGGGGGAAGAUUCCACCGGGAUUGGAGACACCGGAGGAGGAGGAGGAGUUGCCACUUUCUGACGCUUUGUUCCAGUCUUAGCACCUUGGACGCCUUUCCUCUUUGGCUGGCUAGACUGGGGGGGAUCGGCACCUUGGCGUUUGGCUUUUGCCGAUGCACCAGUUUGCUGCAACAACGAUAAAGAGUUUAUGAGCACAGAUAACCGAUAUAAAGAUAGUCAGCAUAAAUAGAAAAGGGUUUUAACAGAUUGCCUUGAAAGCUUGCGCCAGAGUGGAAGCAGUUACCAUUGGUGAUGUCUGAGUUUUCCUGGUGGUAACUUUCUUGAGACGUGCACCCCGGUGCACGAUGGAAGCCAGAGUGGGAGCAUUGUGGCCGAUUGAGGAGAUCGGGCCUGAUGGGAAUAAGUCGAUCGGCUUGCCACUCCUACUAACCGAUGGGGGGGUGUUGUCAAUCUGCAAAAAGAAUACAGGGGUAAGUUACCAAUGGGAAUAGUAUUGGAAAAUGAGACAUCGGUUUAAAAUACUUACAGUGUCGUCAGGGACUUCAUAUUCGGGGUCGAUCAUGCCGCGGUAUGAGAGGGCCGAUCUGCAGAAUAGAUUCUCCUUCCAUUCUGCCCACCAUAGCUUGUAUGCUUGAGUGAUAAAGGCAGCUGGAACCCAUUCUGACAAAUCUACAUCUGUAUCGGCAUUUGGUGGUAGCUGGGCUACUCGAGUCCACUCGAGGAGGUUAGCGAUGGGUUCUCUGGGCUUUAUUACAUCGGCAUAAGGAAGUGCGAUCGGCAAUUGGCCGAAAGCUAGCUGGCGAGCUAAUGCCGAUGGAUUAUAAAAUUCAUAGGUUUGGGGAGAGGUUUUCGUGCUGCCGAAGAAGUUCACUGGUAUGGCUCUGGGAGUCACGAUUGCCAUCAUCACCUCAUUAUCCCUAUCAAGAGCUUCGUCGAACGGAUUGAAGGUCAGAGGGAGCAUACUAUCUGGGUCGUCAUAAGCCAGCCAUGGUCGUUCAUCUCUGGCCAGACCCUCAUACAGCGUUUCGAAGAAUCGGCCGAUCUGAUCCGGAGUGUUCCCUGAACCGGGUAAAACUAUAACAGCUUCGCCAAAGUUCAGGGGGGCACGUGUUGCCGAUUCCUCUUCACCCAACACAUGAUUCUCGGCUAUAUCUCUUGGGAAGUGCUGAGAGAACAAGUUGAGAUCGAGGCGUUUGUGCAGGUGCAGAUUGAGCCACAUAUUGAUAAACCACCAAGGACCUCCCAAGUUGCCGAUAGGUUGGCCGAGCAGGAGUUUCUGGACUACCUGAUGAAGAAGGUGAUAAACAGCGCCGAGCAAAUAACGGCCGAGAGGAAAUUGACCACCGCUAGCCAGUCUUUCUGCUGCCGAUAGAUAGACAGAAGUCGGUCCUGCCGAUCGACCACAGAAUACAAACUUGUCUAGCCACAUGUUCAGAAAAGUGGUUUGUUCCUUUAUGGUGACAGGCCCUCUCCCGCGGUACUUCUGGAUGUACCCUGACCAGCCGCCGAUAGCGCGAGUCUCCACUUUGGCACUGGGGGCGGUAUCAAAAAAGUGGGUGCUAUCGGCAGAAGAUAUGUCUAACCCAGUAAGCAUGGCUACAUCGGCAAGGGUAGGAGAAGCAGGGCCGUGGCCAAAAACAAAAGCGUUGAGAGUGUCUGACCAAAAGUAAGAUGCGGCUAUCAGCAAUGACUCGUUCCUGUGCAUAUCGGCAAUGGACAGCCUAAUGCAUUGAGCUAAUUUCCUCUCACCCCAUUGAACUUCAUAAGAGUUGCUGACCCUCAAGAACCAGUCUUUCCACCCUACAGUAGGGCUAGGCCAAGAGCGAAAGGUGUCCUUCCAUAGAUCUAGAGCAAAGUUUUUAGUCCUAAAGGGAAUCCUGUUGGUUUCUGCAUUGAUAAGGUCGGUUGGAUCUGGAUUCCCUAGAGGGCCGAGGCAUUGAAGAUGUGGUUGAUCGGUAGGAAUGACAAUUUUGUUGGAUAACUCCUGGUGUUUUGGGGAGUAAAGAUACAAAGAAAAAGGAGAAGGAAAAUAUUUGGUAAGGUAAAUCGCAGAUGAACAGGAAUGCAGGAAAAGGGUACAACAGAUGAGAUGGAAGUCUGACCUCAGGGACGACGAAGCCAACGGCCAUCUUGUCGUGAAGGGGACGCUGGAAGACGCCGGAGUUGAUGAAGAAGAAUGCUUGUCGGAGAUCUUGAGGAUUGAGAAUGGCGCCGCCGCUGGAAAAGUGAAGUUGGAUGGCAGAAUGAUGUAAUGGGGGAGGAGUACCCAAGAAGGGACUAUUUAUAGGGCAAGAUGGACAAGGGCAAAUCUGACUUAUUUCUUUGCCGCAUCCGAGAAACCCGAGGGUACUCAAGUGGAUAUGGUAACUGUUCGCACGAUAAUCCAGGGAUUUGUGCAGGUGAUUUGACAGGAAGCGGUCAUUAUCUAAAGAUAUUUUACUGUGCGCGAUCUCUUGGUCGGUCCAUCGGUGAUAUUCUAUAACGGUCGUCCUGCCGAUGGGCGGAUAGAGGGGAAUCGUUUUUUGCGAAUAUCCUGGGCAGAGCAUCGGCAGAUCUUUGUAACAGUAUUGUUGCCGAUGUACGACUAAGAGAGAUGCCCGUUUGGGAAGUUGUGGAUUUCGAGGGAUCUGCGGAGGAUUAGGAUCAGAGUUGCCUAGAUUGAGGUUGUCGGUUACCAGAUUAGGAGCAUUAAUUGCGGAGAAGACAUCAUUACUGCAGAGAAUUUCGGAGCAUUAAUAGUUUUAUACUCCGAAACUGGGGGGCAUGUGUUGACACCAUUUUUUGGGCACGUGUCCAGGAUGGCAGGACAGGGUGGCAGUACGAUGCGGGUUGCUGGUAAAGAUGGUUGCCGAUGAGGGAAAGGUUGAAUAUGACUAAGUCCUCAGACAGUGAUAUGGUGCCAAUGACCAAGUAAAAGGGUCUGCCGAUGACUAUGGCAAAGGGAUUGCCGAUGACGCGAAGGAGGAGUCCGGAAACUGCCAGUUGUCAUGUGGAGGAAUUUCGGUUUGUCACGAAGGAUGGUUUUAUUAUUUCCUUAUGUUAUUCGUAUCGUUUUGUAUACGGGUUCCGUGUAAUUUGGAAUUCGAAUUCUAAUCGUGUCUGGUCGUAGCUCUUGGAGCAGGGUAUAAAUAUAAGCCCUAAGACCUUGUAAUCAGGAGAUCUAUCAAUCAAUCAAACACACGUUUUUUACUCAUAUUCCAGCAUUUACUUUUCGACGACUUCGUCAUACGUUUUCUUUUUGUUACGAGUUCUUAGGAAUUCGUCGACUCAAGCUCGGCGUAUCCUCAAGUUCCGCGUGAGUACCUCUUAGCCGUGACAUCCGGGCGUAUCGCUGUUGUCAGGACUAAAGUAUUCGAGUUAUCACCUUUGCCGAUAGUAAGAUCAAAUCGGCUGGCACGCCUUAACGUUUGUAUCGGGUAUUAGCCUUUUGUGUUUGCAGACUAGUUUUGCAUCAACAAUCGGUCAUUAAAUGAGGUCACUAUUAAAAACAAGUACCCACUGCCUAGAAUAGAUGACUUAUUUGACCAACUGAAAGGAGCAUGUGUGUUCUCCAAAAUUGACCUCCGAUCUGGCUAUCACCAGUUGAAAAUCCGUGCAACUGACAUACCUAAGACAGCUUUUACCACAAGGUAUGGCUUGUAUGAGUAUACAGUCAUGUCAUUUGGGCUGACCAAUGCACCUGCAUACUUCAUGUAUAUGAUGAACAAGGUGUUCAUGGAGUAUUUGGAUAAGUUCGUGGUAGUAUUCAUUGAUGAUAUAUUAAUCUUCUCCAAAACCAAAGAAGAACAUGCUGAACACUUGAGGCUGGUCUUGCAAAAGCUUAGAGAGAAUAAAUUGUAUGCCAAGAAAAGCAAGUGCGAGUUUUGGUUGGAUGAGGUCUCAUUUUUGGGACAUGUGGUCUCUAACGGUGGAAUAGCCGUAGACCCCAGCAGAGUGCGGGAUGUGCUAAAUUGGAAGCCUCCAACUAAUACUAGUGAGAUCCGUAGCUUUCUGGGACUAGCUGGUUAUUAUAGGAGAUUUAUUAAAGGAUUCUCCAAGUUAGCAAAGCCUAUGACAGCCCUACUAGAGAAGAGUGCCAAAUUUAUUUGGUCAGAUAAGUGCCAAGAAAAUUUUGAGGAGCUAAAGAAAAGGUUGACCACAGCCCCAGUGUUGAUCUUACCAGAUCUGAGUAAAACCUUCUCUAUUUAUUGCGAUGCAUCUCGCCUAGGCCUUGGAUAUGUGCUUAUGCAAGAAGGAAGAGUAGUGGCGUACGCAUCCAGGCAGUUGAGAAAACAUGAGCUGAACUAUCCUACUCAUCAUUCGGAGCUAGCUGCCGUGGUUCACGCUCUAAAGAUUUGGAGGCAUUAUCUAAUUGGACACAAGUGUGAUAUUUAUACGGAUCACAAAAGUCUAAAGUAUAUUUUCACACAGUCAGACCUGAACCUAAGGCAACGCCGCUAGCUAGAAUUAAUAAAGGAUUAUGACCUGGAAGUGCAUUACCAUCCCGGGAAGGCAAACGUUGUUGCCGAUGCACUUAGCCAAAAGAGCUAUGCCAAUGGGCUGCAAUUGACCUUCAUUCCCACAGAGUUGCUAGCUGAAAUAGAGCAUCUCAAUUUGGGUUUAGUGAACAACACUGUUGAAUUGGAGUUGGAGCCCACCUUAGAGCAAGAAAUCCGCAAAGGUCAGUUGGAAGAUGAGAAACUAAAGGAAAUUUCAGAGAAUGUAGUGCUUGGAAAAGCACCGGGUUUCAAGUUAGAUGAAAAUGGUACACUAUGGUUUGGGAAGAGAAUAUGUGUGCCAGAAGUGAAAUCCAUCCGAGAUGCAAUCCUGCGUGAAGCACAUGACUCUGCAUAUUCAAUUCACCCCGGAAGCACCAAGAUGUAUCUAGAUCUUAAAGAAAAAUACUGGUGGUAUGGAUUAAAGAGAGAUGUGGCAGAGUAUGUAGCGUUAUGUGAUACUUGUCAGAGGGUGAAAGCCGAGCACCAAAGACCUGUAGGGUUCUUGCAACCAAUGCAAGUGCCUGAAUGGAAAUGGGAAGAAGUAGGUAUGGAUUUCAUCACUGGGUUGCCCCGCACUCAGCGUGGGUAUGAUUCAAUUUGGGUAAUAGUGGAUCGACUCACUAAAGUUGCUCACUUUUUGCCCGUUAAGACCAACUAUGAUGGUGCAAAGCUGGCAAAGUUAUAUAUGGAUAGAAUCGUGAGUCUGCACGGAGUUCCGAAGAAGAUCGUGUCUGAUCGGGGUACACAGUUCACAUCUCACUUUUGGCAUAAAGUACAUGAAUCAUUGGGAACAAAGUUGAACUUUAGUUCCGCGUAUCAUCCCCAAACCGAUGGGCAGACUGAAAGAGUAAAUCAGAUUCUAGAAGACAUGUUGAGAGCAUGUGCGUUACAGUAUGGUACCAGCUGGGACACUAGUUUACCAUAUGCUGAAUUCUCAUAUAAUAAUAGUUACCAGAAAAGUCUCGAUAUGGCACCGUUCGAAGCAUUGUAUGGGCGGAAAUGUAGAACACCUCUGUUUUGGAAUCAGACUGGUGAGAGUCAAGUAUUUGGACCUGAUGUUCUUAGAGAUGCAGAGGAAAAAGUGCGGAAAAUACGGGACAACUUGAGAGUAGCUCAGUCUCGACAAAAGAGUUAUGCGGAAACUAGAAGAAGAGAAUUGGCAUUCGAGAUAGGCGACUAUGUGUAUUUGAAGGUGUCACCUAUGAGAAGUGUCAGGAGGUUUAAUAAGAAGGGAAAAUUGGCACCGAGGUACGUUGGACCGUUCAGAAUUCUUAGGAGACGUGGAGAAGUGGCCUAUCAGUUAGAGUUGCCUGCGAGUAUGUCGGGUAUUCACGAUGUGUUCCAUGUGUCACAACUGAAGAAAUGUUUGCGAGUGCCUGAGGAACAAAUUCCAUUGGAGGAACUCACAGUUGAAGGAGAUCUAACUUAUGAGGAAUAUCCAAUCAAGAUCUUAGAAACAGCAGAAAGAGUCACCCGGAGUCGGGUUAUAAAGAUGUGCAAAGUGCAGUGGCACCGAUAUAAAGAAGAAGAAGCCACUUGGGAAAGAGAAGAUGAGCUGAGACAGUCUUAUCCAUAUCUCCUUGAGUAAGCAUCGUCUCAAUCUCGAGGACAAGAUUAUUUUUAAGGGGGGUAGAAUUGUAACACCCAAAAAUUCUGUUUCUUUUAAAUAGAUGAAAUGAAUUUAAAUGAAUUUAUUUUGUGAGCAUUUUCAAUGUAGGAAAAUAAAUAAAUUUGGAGAAAUUAAAAUUUAAUAUAAGCCUAGAGAAAACUUUAUGUUGCAUUCAUGCUGGGGCAUUCUUUUAUGUGAUGAGUGUUUUGAAAAUCAAAUUGAUUAAAAAUCCAUUUGGGAAAUGCAUUGAAAAUUUGUUUGAGAAAAAGAAAAGGAAAAGGAAUUUCUUUCUCCCCCUUUCUCUCCAUUUCGGCCUCUCGGCCCAAAAACCCCCCCGCGCGCGCCCUCUCCUUCCUGGGCCGCGGCCCAGCCGCCCCCCUCUCCCUUCCCCUCUCUCUCCCCGCUGACAGGCCGGGCCCGCCUGUCAGCUCCUCCUUCCCCAAACCAACGCCCCGCUCCUUCCUCUCUCUCUCGGUUUGGAAACCGCAAGGCCGAAGCCCGCGCCCACGAUCUUCCCCUCUUCCCCCGCGUUCGGCUUGAAAAGGAUAGCGCCCGCGCCGAGCUUGAACCGCACCCCGCGCCCCAUUCGUUUCCCUGCUCACCUUCUCGCCUGGGAGCACCGAGCGCCGCCGAGUUCGCCGCCGCGGUGGAAGAUUCGAUUGGCCAAGUUUUCUUCCCCGUAAUCCCCUUGCCGAGCUCCUUUUUAGUCCCGCGAAGUCGCCUAGAUUCUUCUUCUUAUUUUUCCCACCUCGGUUUUCUCUCUAGCUGCCGCUGUGUGUGCUCAGGAGAAUCCUCGCCGCCGUUUCGCGUGGUCAGCCGAAGUCGAUCCGUCCUAGUCCUUGUUCCGGGCGUCUUCGGGUUCGCGGUGAGCUCCUGUGGCCUCCCGUGCUCUUGGAUCGAAGUUUUGUCCACCAAAGGACGUUUUCUCCUUCUUCGGCGAUCUCCCAGCCAUGGCGCCGCCGCGGAGGCCUUGCUCCGGCCGGCCGGCCGGCGAGCCCUUCCCUCUCUCCCCUCUAGAUUAAAUCCGAGCCGUAGAUCACUAAUCUGACGGCCCAGUGAGCCCCGUACCCCUUCGCGGGUCAGUUUUGCUAAAGAGUCCCCCUGGGAUUUAGUAUUUGAGCCACAGUCCUUAGCGCAAUUCGUAAACUACGCUUUGUCUUUUUGGAAAGCGUAUUUUCCGUCGGUUAGGUCAAAAUACGCUUUCGGGAAAUUACAGAAUUGCCACUGAACUUGUUUUGGCCAUAAAAUAUUCGUUAUAGCUCCGAAUUGACCCGUUCAAAUUGCGUUAGGUUCGUAAUUAAAUUAUCUACAUGAUAAUACCACUGUUUUUGUAGUUUGCAACUUUUUAUUUUCAGGGUUAGGUUUAAUUAAUUAAUUGCCUAUAGGAAAUCGCCGAUAAGUCGUAACUUGGUCGUUUUAGCUCCGAAUUUCGUGAUCUUCGUAUCUAUGUGAUCGUAGCGAAACGUAGGUUCUGUUUUUAAAUAUUUUAUUUCAUUUUUGAUCUGUUGGUGUACUGUUCUAAUUAAAUGAUUGUUUGCUUGUAUGAAUGAACCUGGAUGCGUGUUGUUGUGUGGUACCGAUCGAGCGCAGACGGUGACGUGUCCGUGGGUGAUCCAUUUCACUUCGAGGAGCAGCAGGACCAGCAGCAGUUCCCCUUCACCGAAGGCAAGUAUAACAUGGGUUUCCCUUGUACACCUAUUCACUUAAUUAAUUACGCAUUUGCAUGUGUCUAAUUUUGAUAACCCUAAGGACAUCCUAGCUACCUGACUAAACACUUAUGACACCUAUGGGAAGAAUGCAUGUGGGUAGCUUUGCUAGUGCUCUAAUUAAUUGAGACUUUAUUAUCACUCUGACUUUAAUAAAUAUGAUGAUAAAUAUUGGGAAAAAGGGCUAUGGUGCAAUUGACUUCGGUCGGGUUGACCUAGACCCUCCGUAAGGACUUCUCUGUAAGCGACAAUCCGGGACUUACAGUGCAACCGUGAUGGUUAUAUGGCUCUAACUUUAGCUCAGUAAUAGGAUCUCAUCUAGCUGGUUAGAGGUUACCCGAAAGGGCGCAAGAGGGGCUUGCCACUUUGGGUAUAGAACUGCUUCUGUUCCUAUGUGUAUAGCCGUGAUGGAAAUGUGCCAUAAGAAAGGGGGGUUCUCUAUAUCUGCCUGCCGAGGAAACCUCGCGGCCCUAACUGGUUAGACGUGGCCUAUGGAAGGCUUCAUAGUGUUCCCUGCCCGCUCACCUUGGCAGUGUUAGUGGGUCUUGCAAACCCCGGGCAUAUGGGUAACACGACUUACGGGAAAAGUGCACACCUCUGCGCAGAGUUUGAUCAAAUUGGUAUACUAGCCGUGCUCUCGAACAUGAGCGGCCUUGGACCCUUACGGAAUAGUUGGGUGUGGAUGGUUAUGGGAAAUAACUAAUGAAAUGCUGACGCAUUGAUCGUGAUGAUUAAUGUGGUUUAACCGUGAUGGUGAUGGUGUUAGCCGUGAAGGUUAACGGUGUUAUUAUCAUGUACUCAUUUGGGCUAAUUGGAAGCUUAAGCAUAAUUGAUGAUUAAAUAGGAUUAAAACAUUGACCAAUUAAAAUGCUAACUGCAGUAGCCAGUGUCUGACCUUUUUGAGCCGCAUAAAUUCCUAUGUUAUGCUUGCGGAGUACGAGAUGUACUCACGCUUGUCUUUUUAUUUCUUUUGGACAAAAAUCCCGGAUGGGUAACAGAUGACAGCUAUUACGAGGAAUUUCCGGAGGACUUCUAGGUUGGCGAUCCCCCAGUCGGUCGUCCCUGUGUUGGAGUUAUCUUACCAUAGCUAGUUAUGAGUUUAUUUUCCGUUUGUCGCAGACUUUGAUAUAUUUGUGUUGUAAUAACGUUUUGUAAGACACUUGUGAUGAUACAUUUGUAAUUUGUCGACUUGUGUGCGCGACUAUUCCUGGGGCGCACAUGAGAUUAUUGUACUCAAAUUUAUCCUUAAAUUUGGGUGUGACAUCUAACUCAUUUAUCCCCAUUCCGUGAGGCCUUUUAGCUAUAGGUGCAGUAUCAGGUGGUAAUUUGAUAAUAUUUAAUUCAAUGUCUCCGGUCAAGAAGCAUACCUGGCAACUUAUCCGAAAAAAAAUCAUCUGGAAAUUUAUUCACAACUACUACUUUCUCUUCACACUCCAUCUCCGUAGUAUAUUUCUUCAUCCAAUCCAAACCCAAGAUCACAUCUAUGCUUGGAGUUCUCAUAAGCAUAGGACUGACAGGGAAAUCUACCCCCCUUAAAAUGAGAUUUAUUGGGGGAUACUAGAGACUACUGCUCCUAUCGUUUUUAGAUGCUACACAUCAUAGUCUUUUAAAUUUCUUGUACCAAGUCUCUUAAUCCAAGGUUGGUUUCAACACUAAGUUCCAUCUAUUGGUACCUUUAUCGCCAAUAAGUUGUUUCACUCUCAUAUUGCAUAUGUAACUGAAGCGCCCCUGGUAAACCAGGAACUCAAAUGUGAUACAAUACUAGUCCCAGGAGGCUAGUAACACAUUUAUUACAUCAGAUAAGUUUCAGCGCAGUAGUCUUGGAAAGCGUGGACAAGGAAGGCACGCUAUAAUAAUAAGACACCAAAAUACAACACAGGUCCAAAGGACCCAGAAACAAACGAUAUCGCCAUCGAACAUCUGACGAGUCCCAAUGCCACAGGCUUAGUUGGGUGCAGACACGACCUUACUCGAACGCCACUUCGGGAUCGAAGUCCGGAUCUUCCUCUGUUUAAUAAAGCAAGGGUGAGUACAAAGUACUCAGCAAAUCCAACCUUACCCUACGGAAGGGGAUAACAGUAUAUAUGCAUAUGGAUAAAUCAAGGAUGAGGCUUAGUUUUAUUUGCAUAAAGCUAUCUUUUUACACAUGCAAGGUUUCAUUUCACAAAUACUGUUGUAAAAGACCUCUUUUUCCACAUAUGAUAGUAUUUCUGAAAAUGGGGGUUUGAUCACAAUUUUAAGUGUCGUUGAACCCUUGUUUCCACAACACAAUGGCAGUCAACCAUUUAUUUCUAAAAUCACACUCACUCUCAUAUUUUCACUCAUCCCAUCCCAUCUAGUUGUUGAAACCAAACCAUAACCCGUCCGAGACCGCGGACACGGCUAUCCAGAUAGAUUUACACUCUGCAGAGGUUGUACACUUUUCCCACAAGUAGGAUACCAUAACUUACACCGUCGUGCAAGCACAGAUCCAUCAAAGUCAUUACCCUCCAUAUCUAAGUAAUGGCGCUCACCACGGGAACACUAAGGCCACAUCUCAUGAUACCAUAAUAAUUCACAAAGCUCUUUUCAUAUAUUUCCACAAUUUCACAUACAUCACUUAGUGUCCCGUUGCACACCUGCCUCCAGGUGAUUGCCAUACUAACUAGAGGGAUUUAGACUAAGCCUUUCCCAUGCAAGGCGAGUCGUUGUACGAUAAAUGAGUUAGGCAAGAUGAAUCAUCAACUCAGUCCUUAAUCGAGACAAGGCGGAUAUCUUCACGCUUAACCCCGCAAGGUAUAAGCCACAACACCAGGACAUCCCAAAAGAGAUCCCAUCCGCCCCAUGUCCAUAGUAAUCACAUCUAUAACUUGUUCAUUAACCCUUUCACAAUACCCACAAUUUAUUUUCACCACUCACACCUUUUACUUUUAAAAUCAUUAUAUUUGAUAAAAUACAACUAUGAGUAUCCAGAAUGAGUAACAAGUCCUAAGCAUACUAAAUAAUAAUAUUUCUGUCAUAGCAUAUUAUUUUGUUCCUAGGUUCGAACAAGAUAAUUACCGGGUAAUAUCAAUUCAAGGAUGACUAUUCAACAGGUUUUAACUAAGCAGCGAAAAUACUUCGUACAUAUAUCGUACAUGCAAUAUUUAAAACGGCUUCUACGGGUUGUGUUUAAAAAUAGGAUCAAUAUGCAUCAAAGGGGAUCGGUUGGACUUGCCUCCGUCGGCGUCCUCGGCAAACUCCUGCUGACAGUCCGGGUCCUCGGCGUCAAACUCGCGGUACUCGUCUCCAACGUUCUCGUUUUCUGGCUCGUUCACUCCGUCAACUAAAAUACGCGACGAACGACACAGACAAUAGGCACAGAUAAAUAAUCAUAUAAAUUCAAAUGAGCUCCAAAAAUCAUGAAAUUAAUAUGGGAGGUAGAUCAUGAUUUUAGAUGAAUUUAGGAAAAAGAAUUAUUAAAAUCAGAGUUAGCAUGUGGCAUUUGUGAAAUGGCCGGAAUUUAAUCAUGCGAAAAAGGCUAACGAUGAUUAAGGAAUGGAUGCUUCACGUGGGCAUUUGUUUGGCUGGUAGUGCAUGUUGCAUGCAUGCAUGUACUAUUUGGAGUUAAUGCUUGGCCCACACAUGCAUGGUUAGAGAGAAAUUAGCAGGGGUCAUUAGAACUCUUCUGUAUGUCAUGGUUCUAUUCGUGGAGUUCUUGGCAGUGAACCAGUACAGACAAAUACAUGGAAAAAUACAGAAAAAUACUACAGAAAGACAGAGAAGAGCAAGGAGAUGCUCAUGAGCUGCUCACCUCGUCUUGCGACGACAGUCGAGCUCGGCUUCUGCGUAUAGCCGUAUAUAGUAUACGCGAAGUGAGAGCGAGUGAGCGAGUGAGUGAACGUGUUUUUCGGGUGGUGAGAGUGAGCACCCGAGGCUGGCUUUUUAUAGGCCAAAGCGCUCAGCUGCGUGCCAUUAAAAAUGCUACUGUAGCGCAUGGUCGGUGCCUAAUUUCAUACGAAGGACGAUGUCCCAUUUGCAUGCACGUUGCAUGCAAAUGGACGGUGCCUAAUCACCGUGUCCUUGCAUGCAGGUGCAUGCAAAUGGUCGGUGGCAUGUCAUGCAUGCAUGCAUGAGAUAUAUAUUCGUGUAGGUGCACUGCUAUGUUUUCUCGCAUGUAAGCUUGCUGGUACUUGCUAUUAUUUGUGCGCGAAAAAUAUGGAUGAAGAUACUAUAGAGCUCAAAUUAUUUUAUAGUUUUUGAAAUAUAUUUUGAAAAUAAUUUUUAAUGCGAGUGAUUUUCGAAUGUGAAUUUUUGGGAUGUUACAGUAACUUUGUAGACUUUGGUGUCAUCUGAUCCUCAUACACAAUUCUUAAUCCAUGAGUAUCAGUAAUAACAUAAACCUCCAUUGGUAUUAGCACACUCCAAAUGGAAUGAUAUCUUGAAACAAACCAACAUACCAAGCACUUGAUGUCCUUGUAGAUGUUCUUGUCAUUAACCACUUCUUCUCUUGUAACUUCUUUAUUUAAGCUACCCCCUUCAAAGGGUCAACUAGGGGACACAAGAAAGGUAGCUUGCACUUUUUCCAGACAAGUUGACUAGCACUGGGACCUUUUGAUAUCCCAAAGAACUUAUGUGCAAGAGAACAAACAGGUAUCCUGAAAUUUUCCUCUUAGUAUGAAAACACCGGCGUAGUAAAACAGGUAUAACUCCUAUUCUGUUAAUCAAAUAGAGUUGUAGCUUAUACCGUUAGAAAACUUAUGAAAUUCCCUACAACUAUCAUAUAGAAAACCUCCUUAGGUUCUGUCUUUAAACUUAGGUAAAACAGCCAAACUUAAUAUCCAUCCUGAAAAUGUCUCAGCAAAGGUGCAGUAGAUUCCAAAAAUUAUAUCUCGAGCUACUUAACACAUCUGGAGAUGAUCCUUACAUUUUUGAAAAUAUUAGGAAAUCCUCUACAACUUUAGUAUACCACGUUUUUCCAGAUUCUAUCUUUAACUUGGCUGUAAAUAGGAAAUGCCAGAUCUAUCCAGAUUUUGAAACCGAACAGCAACAUCCAAGUUUAAAUGUCAUAUCUCAGGUUCUGCUUAUCCAAAUGAGUUCCAGCUUAUACUGUUGGAAAGCUUAUAAAAUUGUCUACAACUUUGCUAUAGGACACUUUUCCAAAUUAUAUAGUUAUAUUUGUCUCAAACAGUAAGCAACCAAAACUGGUCCAGAUUCUUGACAGCACAGUUGUAUCAUAUUGUGAUUUUUGUAACUUCCAAACCAUAACAGCUAUGAGGGUGAAUCUUGCGGUCAGGAAAAUAUCUUGAAGUCUAGUUGUUCCCAGAAAAAUUUGGUAAACUUUGCACGACCAAAACUUGAGAUACUCCCAAAUCAUUGCAGACUGCUACAGAAAUCAGCAAGGGACAGAAACAAGAGAUAGCCAAACCCAACUACUUAUUCCACUAAUCCUUAUGCCUUAAGCCUAUGAACUAAUGAAAUUGUGAGGAAAUCCACAAGAUCAUUGCAAUCAGUACAAAGAUCCAAAUCAAGAAUGAACAUAAUAACAAACCAAUUAAGCAUUGAAGGUUCACACUUCACUCAACUUGCGAUACUAUCGUUCUCUUCAUAGAAAGGGCAAAGAUCCUAAAAUUCUCUUUCAACUACGUAAGCAGGUGGUAAGAGAAGAUUCUAAAAGCUUAUCAAAUCAAGGAGUAAAGAUGAGAACAAGUACUUUUAAAAUAAGCAACAAGGUAAAGAUGAAUAGCAAUGGAAAAGAUAUAGAAUAGAGAAAAAUAUCAAGGUUUAUAGAACAAGGAUUGUAUAACAAUUUAAAAACCUUAAGACGACCAAUUUCUAACUAGGCUUGCGUCCUACAGUCAGCAUUGCUUUGAUACCACUUUGUAAUACCCGAUUUUAAGGACAAAACCAGAUAUGCACCAUAUGUGAGUUUUAGAAGUCAAAUCUCACAUAUAGCUACAAAUAAUGGGUAAUAUCUAGAGACAAUGCAUAAAUAUAUAACAUACUUAGUAUAAAAGAGAUAACCUUCAGUAUCAAACAGUGGAUAGACAAUCUCCAAACUUCGGGUAUUACUUCUCUCCACUGGAUCCAACUGACUGGUUGAUCACAAGCCUAACAUCUCCUGAAGUGUGGGGGAAAUUGCAAGAGUGAGCAAAUAUCGUACUCAACAAGUAUAACCAGGGGUUCAUGAGGCUCAAAUAGCUGACACUGGUUUGACUGCAUUUAGCUUUUAUAUGUAGAUAACAUAUUUAAUCAUUGGAUAGCAAAUAUCAAGGUAGCAUAUUAAAUCCCAUAACCACAUGAUCAAUUGUAUACAGGAAUUAUGAAUAAUACAUAUAAACAACAUAAUAAACCAUCAUUAUCAUUAUUAAUCAUGUUCAUCAGUGUUCAUCUAUUCCGUCAGUUUUCCGGGCUGCCCGUAUCCGUGGGCACGGCUAGUAUACCAGAUUUAACACUCUGCAGAGGUUGUAGAUCUUUACCCAUGAGUCAUGAUUUACCCUUUCGCCCGAGGUGACCAGCCUCUUAGCUCACUUCCAAGGAAAGCCGACAGGGUUCACUAUGAAGUCUUUCAAAGGUUCGUCUAUCAAGUUAGGGCCGCAAGGUUUCCUUUGCGCGCAGAUAUAGAUACCCCCCUUCCGAAUGGCACAAUGACGCGCAGCCUAUACACAUAAGGACAGGGGCUCGCACUAUACCCAAAACGGUUCAGCCCCUCCGCCCUUUUGGGUAACCUCUACCAAGCUAGAAAAGGUUACUCAUACUUGACUAAAGCCAGAGCCAUAUAGCCCUCAUGGUUGUACGAGUUGUCCCAGCUUUUGCCAAUGGAUAAGUCCUUAUGGAGGGUCAAGAUCAAUCCAGCAAAAGCCAGAGUUCUUUCCACCCUUUAUAUUCAAGUUGCUAGAAAGCUUAUUUUAUUGUUUAUUGUAUAUCCAAACAUUCAUGUUACAUGAUCAUGGAUUAGAUUCAAGCACUAGCAGGAACUACCAAAUGCAUAUCCAAAAUAGGUAACAAGGAAUCCAGGAUAACAAUCAUCUAUGAUUCUGCUAAGGUCAUCAAGGUGGACACAUGCAUAUGAUAAAUAUUGUAUUAAUGGUGUAUAGGUAACAAAGAUGAACCCACGUUAUACUUGCCUUGAUCAAAGCUCUCCUGAGCCUGCUGCUGGUCUUCAAAAGAUUGACCUCGAUCACCAACGUAUCGCUCACUGUCUAUACCCGAUCAUCAAUCAACAACACGCAUUCCAAUGGACAAUCAUACACGAAGCAAACAAGCUAUAAUUAGAACAAUAUACCAAAAAGUGGUAAAACAAAGAUAAAAGUUUAUGAAAAUAUUCUACGCAGCGCUACGAUCACACAAACGUAAUGUUCACGAAAAUCGGAAUUGAACGUAGAAGUUAUGAAUUUUCCAAGUUUUCCUAUAGAGAAAUAAUUAAUUAAAUGCUACUGUAGAAUUAAAAAGUUUCAAAACAGCAAACUAAUACUUCUAACGUGUAGAGCUCGUGAAUACGAAUCUAACGAAAUUUGAAUGGACAAAAUCGGAGCUAAAAAGAGCAUUUUAUGAGCAUUAUAAAAUCAGUGGCAAACUUGUAAAUAUCAGAAAAUGUAUUUUGAAUCAACCGACAGACUUUACGUUUUCAAAAACAGAAUAUGCCUUGGACUGCGGGUUCUAAUACGAGAUUCCAGAGGGUCUCUUUAAGAAAACGGCCGGGCGAAGGGGUAUCCUUCUUUUUCGGCCGUAGGAUCGCGAUGGAACGGUGCAGAUCAGAUCUGGGGAGAGAGGGAGGGAGCUCCGGCCAGCUACAGUGGCCAGCGCGGUGGCGCCAUUGCCGGAGGGCAGAACUCCUCGCCGGAGUUCGUCGUUUUCACGAUUCAGUGCACGAUUCAACAAACGAAAAGAAUGGGAAGGCGUAGAAGCUUGCUGCGAACUCACCAGACCAAAAUCAAGGCUCGGGAAAAGCUUGAAGGCGUCCGACGGCUUGAGAUGGCGGACCGGGCACUCCUGCAAGGUACGGCAUCGAUGAGGGAGCUGUAGGGCGCGAUAGAGAUAAAAGGGGAGGCUCAGAACCCUUGUAGGAGCAAUACGAAGCUCGGCGUCACGAUUUAGGCGGCUCUGGGGCAGCACCGAGGAAGAACGAUGGCGGCGGCAAUCUUUGGCUUGCGGCGAGAUCCAACCAGCGGCGAUAGAAGUUAUCUAGGGAUUCCCCAAUGUUGUGGAUGGAAAGAGGAGUGCGCGGGGAGACCACAAAACUUUAUAGGGCUUGAUUUGGGAAUCCGAGCACCAAAUCCCGGAUUUACCGGAUGGGUUUCCAUCUCGGUGAGAGAAGGAGAGACCGUCUCGGCCACGACCUGAGGAAGAAGAAAGGUAAGUCGCCGACGUGUGGGCUCCAGAUGGCAGCGAGAGAAAGAAAGGGAGAAAGGGGAGGGGCGCGCUGCUGGGCCGGAGAAAGAAGUGGGCCGGGGCGGUUAGCUGGGUCGCGGGGGAGGAACGGGGGCUGGGCCGAUGGGGAGUUGGGCUGGGCGCUGGAUGAGGUCUUUUCCCCUUUCUUUUUUUUUCUAUUUUAAUUUUCAAAGCCUUUUCCAAAUAGAAUUUUUAGAGCAACCAAAAUCCACCCCAAAGCAAUCAAAACAACAAUAAGAUAUGCUUCAGCAUGUAUGCAUAAACAAGUUUCUAACUCUAUGUUGAAUUUUAAAUUUCAAUAAAAUUUAUUUCUUCACUAAUUUAAAUGCUCACAGAAAUAUUUGAAUAAAUCAAUUUAAAUCCUAUUAAUUUGAAAGCAAAUUUUGGGUGUUACGCAAAUUGGGAGCUUCAGAUAAGUUUGUAAUCAUGAGUCAACAUUCAAGAAAUUUCACUUAAGAUAAGCAAUUGGGAGCUAGCAAGACUCGACUAAUGUAUUGGAGUAACCUGGUAGCUACCAACAUUCAGGAAAUUUCGGAGUCUGACAAAUUGAGAUGGAUGAACAUGCAUUAACCGGGUAGCUAACAGUUAGAAACUGGUAGCUUUUUAUCCAUUGAACAAAUUAAUAAUUCAGAUUAUUUGUUGUGUCCAAACUGAGAGCAAAAGGAGGUGGUGUUUGGUUGGGAAGAGACUGAAAGUGUCAUUGAAAGGGUGAACUACGCCCUUCCUUUCAGAAGAAAGAACAGAACAUAAAUAUUCAUCCAUAACAUGGCGUCCUUUAAUUAGUACGCUUUUAGCAACAGGGAAAGACACAUGAAAGCUCAUAUCUUGGUUUUGAAGAUAAUUUAUCACCGAUGUUGAUGCAAACUUGCAGACAUCCUCAAUAGCAACAAGCAAUACCAUAGAAACUAAAAAUGUUUUCCUCACUUGAACAAUUCCUUGGGCAAUGAGGCUGCUGCAGUGCUGCUGACUGGUGAGCUACCUAUUGGCCGUCUAAUGCUGAAUGGCAUGUUGCCUGCUGCUGUUAUCCGAUUGAUUCUGGUACAUCAUCACCGAGGCAGACCGGAAGCCAGUGGCGGAGGGAACGGGGGCCUGAGGGGGCCUGGCACCCCCAAACCUUCCCAUAACUCCUUUAAUACACCCCAUAGAUUAGAUGUUUAAUUGUCUAAUUAACUAGUUAAUGAUGUUAUCUGUACUAAAAUUUUUAUUCUUAUUUCAUAUUAAUCUCUAAUAGUUUUUUAUACAAAUAAAAUCUAGAUCUUUCUAAUAUUUUCUUCAUAUCUUUUAUUUUUAUUAUUACCUAUCAGACGGAGACGGGCGGGUGAAUAGUCAGUGGGCCUUCCCUGAUAUUAAAAUCUUUAUUUUUCCUAUUUUUAAAAACCGAUUUCGUAUUUUCCAGAAAAAGAUUUCUACAGGUGGUUGGCAUAACUGAACCACCUGUAGAAAUGCAUUUCCACAGGCGGUUCUCAAUUACUCGCCUGUGAAAAAAUUUAUUUCCACAGGCCACCAAACACAGACGGUUCGCCAAACCGCCUGUAAAAAGGGAUUACGAACCGCCCCUCUGUGUACUAGUGACAAUUAAGCAUGGGGCAGUUGUGGCGCAGUCCUGUUAUUUUUCUUGAUCGAUCCAAAAAAAAAGGUCACUACAAGAUGCAGCAGGAAGUUAAUGAAGUGCGGAUAUCAUAUACGAAAAAGUCAGAGAUCAUGUGAAUAUAAUAGAAAAAUAACAUUUGUUAAUCUUGUGGCAACAGCAGGCUGCAGGCUUAUGGUCGAUAAUUUAUAUAACGCUGGACCGGUUCCAUGCUAGGAACGUCCCUAACCGAACGGGCUUUUACCAGUUCGUCUCCAUCUUGCUAUAUGUGGAAGCAUUCCACUCAAUUAAUUCAUGUAUGUUAGCUCCCGAAAAAAUGCUGACCAAGUUAACAAUGGGAACAUGAAUCUGCUAUGACUCAAGUGGUCACAAUGACUACAUGGAGAUCGUUAGAUAUUUAUAUAAUCAAGGUGCCAAGUAAAGAUAGAGGCUUUCACACUGUCGACUCUUUCUAUCUUUUGUUAGCGAGGAGUUGAUCCUUUCUAAUUUCUAUAGGUAUGUGAGCACAAGCAUGAAUGUGGACUAUUUGAAUCAUUUUUUAGAUUUUUUUCUAAAGGAUAAUUAGCAUGACCCUUCCUCCCAAAAACACAAAAGAAAAGAAGGAACACGUUCCAAAGAGAUCACAUAAUAUUUGUUUACUGGAAUGAGUGUGAAAUGAAAAUACUAAAAGCAAGGUAGGUUUGAAAAGAUUGGUAUAGUAAAAAGAUAAUUGUGUUGUUUCAUGUGCAGGUUCUACGAGCCGGAGACUGUUUCUUCUGUUGGUAGGUUGAACUUGGAAGUUUUCAGUCAUUAACACGUUCACGUCACCACACUUGCCGCUGUGGCAAGCCUAUAUAAACGCACUAUCCCCAUGCCCAAAGCAUCAACAGAGACACAAACUCAACCAGAAGCUCGCUAUAGCUGAGUUCGGAGACAACAAGAUGGCUCCAGCCACCUACUUUCUCCUCGUUUCUUUUCUAGCAUUGGUCACUUCUCAGGCCAUUGCUUCUGACCCAAGCCCGCUCCAGGACUUCUGUGUUGCCGACAUACACUCUCCAGGUAUCCAUGCACUAACAUUAAAUAAUGCACUAUGUCUUGUUGUACUAAAUCACAUAUCAAAUUGGAAUUAUUUGUCAGAACAGAAACUAGAGUUUUAUGUAUGUCCUAAUUAUAAUGAUUUCUGAUCGUUAUGUACCUAUUUUUCUGUCUUUGUAUAUGCAGUGAAGGUGAAUGGAUUUGUCUGCAAGGACCCCAUGGCUGUGAAUGCAUAUGACUUUUUCAAGGCAGCAAACCUUGACAAACCUAGGGACACAAUGAAAAGCAAGGUUGGAUCCAAUGUCACUUUGAUCAAUGUCAUGCAGUUGCCUGGACUCAACACCCUAGGUAUCUCGUUGGCUCGCAUUGACUAUGCACCAUUAGGUCAGAAUCCGCCACACACCCACCCACGUGCCAUAGAGAUUCUCACCGUGCUUGAGGGUACACUCUAUGUUGGAUUUGUCACCUCCAACACAGACAAUGGCAACAAGCUAUUCACCAAGGUUCUCAAGAAGGGUGAUGUGUUUGUAUUCCCCCAAGGGCUCAUCCACUUCCAAUUCAAUCCUAAACAUGACAAGCCAGCAGUCGCAAUCGCGGCACUAAGUAGCCAGAACCCUGGGGCUAUAACUAUUGCCAACGCAGUCUUUGGAUCAAAGCCACCAAUCUCAGAUGAUGUCUUGGCCAAGGCAUUCCAGGUGCAAAAGGGGACAAUUGAUUGGCUUCAAGCUCAGUUCUGGGAGAACAACCACAACUAAAUAAAUCAUGUUCGGCCAUUGUAUGAGUUCUGCAAUAAUUUGUAUGGGAAUAUAGAAUUUUUUUGCACUUUACUUACUACUGUAUGUUUUUAUUAUUUCUAUGCUACUAAUGAUAAUAAAAUAAAUGGUCAGUAUUUCUCUACUAUAAUUGUAAUUGUGUCCGUGUUGUGGCUCUGCCACCAUGACUUUAAUCAAAAAAUUAAUGUAAUUUAUAUGACUGCCGGUUAUAUGGGGUAUAUAUAGUGAGCAGCCAAACGCUUGACCAGAUGCAGUACCAAGUUAAUGAAGUGUAGAUAUCAUGUAUGCAAGCGGACAGAUAAUCAAUUUAUAAUUUUACCACUGGGAAGGUAUAACUUUGCAUGAAUAUAUAGUAUUGAUAACUAAAGUUUACAUAUGAAAGAUUUAAUCAAUAUCAUACACUCACAUGAUAAAGAUAUAUAUACUCCCUUUCUAUAUGAUUUAGUCAUUUUGGACAAGUUUGGGUCAAACAUUGAGAAUAUAAAUCAUCAAUAACUUUUAAAUGCUGAGUUUGCAAAUGUUUCAAUUAUAUGAAUAGAUUUGUCUUGAAAAAUACUUUCAUAAAAGUAUACAUAUAUCAUUUUUUCCUAGAUAUUUUUAUAAAAAUAAGAGGUCUUGUGUUUUGGAGACUGUGUCAUUGUCCUAAAUGACUUCUAAAUCUUAUACGACAGUGUAUAUAUAUAAAUGAUAAGUACAUAUUAAGCAUCAUAAUAGAUAAAUAAAUAAUUCAUUUAGAGCCCUCUAAUUAUAGCAAUAGCCAUAGUCCAAUUAGAAUAUCAGAAGAAUAGUUCCUAAGUUCAGGAGCAUUCUUGGCAAGGUUGUCGCUAUCAAUGUCGAAGCACACGCGGGAUGGAGAGUAGUAGUUGAUGUCGUUAAAGUCAUACUCUGAGCCAUUCCUUGAGAGGAUCAGAGAGCAUGGGCGGCGCCAGGGGUAUACCCAUGUAUUCCAUGGAAUACCCAUGAUUUUUGUGACAAACACAAAUAUAUGUAUAUAUACACACACAUGUAUAAUCAGCAUAUAUGUUAGUUUAUUGAAUGUUGCAAAUAUGUAGCCCAUAAAAGAACUCCAAUAGUCUGGCUAAAAUUAAUUAUCAAAUUCUAUUGCUUAGCUAUUUUGUCCAAUAGAAAAUUUCUAAAAAAUAAGAGAUCUACAACAUUCUUGUUACUUUACAAAGUCUUACAGUUAGCGUCUGUAAGAAGCUAUAUAUAGCCACCGAAAAUCAAGGGAAAGCCAACUUUCUAUUUUACAAAAUUAGAUAGCAUAUUAGUUGGAGUCUACUUUUGCUAUACAAAUUCUAAAAUAGCAUAAACAAUAAGAAUAGUUAAACUCUUUAAGUUGCUCUAAGCCUAGUAGAACAACUAGUAGCGGCUGCCCAUGAACUCAUCAGAAAGAAACCCCAUCGACGGCAUUCCUCUGGCGGCGGCGGUGGUCAGUGGUCUUUGUAGGCUUUAUCAUAUAUGGCUCCCCCUCAACGCCUUUCUCAUAUAUGGCUUGAAGCAACAACAAGGUGAACACAAAGAUCCCACAUCUAUUUUUUUAUUCUUCAAAGUAAAAAUUGAAGGUUUCAUUUUCUUCUUUUUUUUUGUUGCGUUUUGAUUUUUUUAAAGAAAUGUUGCAUUGUAUUCUUGUAACAUAGAUAAAGAAUUUAUAUAUACUUUGAUUAUUAUCAGGGGCGAUACUAGGCUCACUUUGCCUGAUGUCUUGUUACUAGGAUAAACAAAUAUUUUACCUAGCAUAUAUUUUAAAAAAAUUAUAUGUACUACUUGAGCUGCACCAGGAUCAAUUUUGUAUUGAUUUUGUCCCCUAUUACUAUUGCACAUAUACAUAGAAAAUUUUUUAUACGUGGAAUACCCAACUAUAAAAUCCUAGCUCCGCCACUGUCAGAGAGGAAGGUGUCAGAGAGGAAGGUGUGUAGAGAGGGGGGAAAUGGCCCUACUGUGCCGGAGAUUUGUCCCCUUUCUGUCACGCCCCGUGCAUGACCUUGUCGGAAGCAUGGAGGACAGCACUGCGUCCAUCAGACAAAACUGAAGCCCCAGAGCCUUGGGUGCUCGGGGCGCUAGGUUCUGUUGAAUAUAAUGGGCCUUUAGCCCAUAAUUAUAUUUAAUGAUUAAUUAAAGAAUCCAUAAUAAAUGCUAUAAUGAAAACGGUUUAGUACUGUAUUGAUGAUUGACCAUGUGUUAACUCAACUUAAAUAUGUGGCUUUUGUU